rnacentral:lncRNA from 1 species
AAGAGAAAGUAAAUCUAGACACAAUUGUUGAUGGUGUAAGAUCAUAGUAAUGUUUUCUCGUUCUUACCGGCGCCUAGCAGUUUUUAUUCUCACAGUCUAUCACGCAUGCUUCAUAGUCGUGUAUUAUGUGUGGAAGACAUGACAUGGUACACUUUAUUUCACAAGAUGUUCUUGGCCAUCCUUUGAGUUUAGUUGGCUCAAAUUCUUGAGAUGGAGAGUUGCAUUCAACAUGUGUUACAAUUAACAUAAUCAUUAACAUCAUUACAGCACAUUUUCUUAUCAUGCUUACUUCCAUGACUCUUUUUGAUGAAGUAAAUUUUAACAAUCUCUAUUAUAAUUUUAUUUUUUUGUGAUGUUUUAGGUUGUGUAAAAAUACCUUAUUUAUAGCCACAAAAAGUGAAGGUAUAAGACUUUUCAAGCGUAAAGCAAAACACAUGAUAAUAAUUUUCAAAUAUAAAAAAGUCAAAUCAAUCUCUUUUAGAAUUCUCUUUUUAGUAAUUUUUAGGUUUCUAAAAAGAUCUUAUUCAUAGUCAUAAAGGUGUAUGUAUAAAAGUUUUCAAACGUAAAGUAAAAUACAUGAUAAUAAUUUUCAAAUUUAAAAAGUGAAAUCAAUCUCUAUUAGAAUUUUCAUUUUAAAGAUUUUUAGGUUUCUCAAAAGACUUGCUAAACAAAAGGUUACUCAGGAGACCAUGUUUAUGGCCAUAAAAUGUAUGUAUAAAAGUUUUCAAACGUAAAGAAAAUACAUGAUAAUAAUUUUCAAAUAUAUGAAUUCAAAUUAAUUUUUUUGAAGAAACUAUAACCCACUCAAAUUGACACCGGAAAGAAUCGAAUAUGAGACCUUAAGGAGAAACAUGCUCAUAAAAGAAUAAAAUUUCCAUAUUUUAGUUAAACAUUAAUCGGUAUACACCCCAUCUCGAUUUGGAAGUUUAAACAUAUCUUUUCUCGAAGCGGAAUGAACUCUUGAAAUUAACUUAGAUUCAUUUAAAAUUCUUUAGAAGAAUUAUUAAAGGUUAGGGAUGGCAAUUGGACCCAAACUCUAUGGGCACCCGCAAAAAAUACCCGCUAUGGGUAGGGUAAAACCCCGCUUUCAUGGGUCCGGGCUUGGGUAUGGGUAAUUACCCGUAAAUUUAUAUAUAUGGGUAUGGGCACUGUACUACCGAGCCCCGCCACCCGCAUAUAUGUAUUUAUAUAAUAUUAUAAAUAAUUUAUUUAUUUUUGGUGUACAAUUAAUUAAUAAAUUUAACUAUUUAAGCCUAACCUUAAACCUAAAACAGAUUAAUAAAAAUGUUAGUAACAAUUUAUUAUGAUUUUAGCAUGCAACUACAACUUUUUAACGUAUAACUGAUGUAAGGUAUCUAUUUUUUUUUUUCAGGAAUAAUUUGGAUGUUUUUUUAUUUGGUAAAAUAUUACGAUUCAUAUUAUUUCGUAAGUUGAUUUAAAAAAAUUUGGAUCAUAGUUUUAUUUCAAGUGUGGUGAUUUUUAUUAUCUUUCCAUGGCUAAAGUGCGGGUAUGGGCACUAAAGUUGUUGCCCACGAAAGUACGGGCACGGGUACGAGCAUUUACAAACGUGGGUAUGGAGAUGGAUACUAUAGUACCCUACCCAUUAGGUACCCAUCGCCAUCUCUAUUAAAGGUGAAUACAAUGACACCUUUUAAGUUUGAUUGGAUAUGUAAAAAUAACGACCAAUCUUGAUAUCCUAAAAAAAAAAAAAAACAUCAACAUGAAAUGAAAUAUAUUAUUUCAGUGCGUUUCUAAAAGAGGGAUAAAACAUAAAUCUUAAGUUAAAUAUAAAACGGCAGAAAACGGAAAUUUUAGGAUAAAAAAACAGAAUGCUUGUUGUUCCAAAAUGUCUAUUUAUUUUUUUUGAAUAUAAAACAUAUUUUAUUCUUCUAUACUUUCUAUGUCAUUAAAUUUCUAUUCUCAUUGUCUAGACCUUCAAACAUGAGAAAUUUGAGAAUCUAGACUAAUUUACUGAAAGUUUGAAGCAAUUUGCUUCAUUAGUAAGAUUGAAGAUAUAUCUUAGCAUUGCAUAUUCUGUUGAAUAUUCCUUUUAUAAUUAAGUGUAAAAUCUCUUAUAUAAUAGACCUUCCGUAGUGAUAUUAAGUAACACGGUUUUUAAUAAAUGUCUCUCACUCUCUGUUGCUUAAUUUCUCUCAUUCAAUAUGGUUUCAAUCUCCUCCAAUAUUUGUUAGGCCACCGGCCACAAUGUUUCCUUCGUACCGCUCACCAUUUAUAUCUACGAAUAAAAUCCAUUAGUAUAAUUGGUCUGAGGGUGUGUGUUAAAGACUCCUACAUUGAAUAAGAGAUGGUAUGGGCAUAUGUUUAUAGAUGGGGGCAAAUCUUAUCUCAAAAGCCAGUUUUUAUGAGAUUGUGUUAGGCUCAUCCACAAAUUCUAAGAAGAAUCGUAUCAUAUAUGUAAGUAGUGGUGCAAGCCCUAUAUAUGGCAUUAUAUGUUUUUCUAACUAGUUGGAUUAGAGUUCAAACUAUAUGGUAUUUUUCUAUUUUCUCAAAUUUCAUAUUCCUUAAGAAAACACUCAAUUCACUUGCUUAUUUUUCUAUUCAAUUCACUAUUUUCUAUCACUGAUAUCAAUAUCAUAACACUACCAUAAUAAAUGAAUACGCUUCUGACAAAUUAAUGGUAUUUAGUGAUCAUAACUGAGCAUAUCUUAAUUAAUGAAAGCAAGCAAUAGUUUCUAUGUUUUUAUUGGCUUGUUCAUCAUCAAAACAAUUUACCAUUUCAUGAAUCUUGAUCAUCCUUGGAGGCCAAAUCUAGAGAAACUUCAUACAACUUGUGGGGAACCAUCAUGGAUACAUCCUUAAUUAAUGAUCUAGAUCAUCACAUUCACCUUUCUAUUCCACUAGCAUUAGGGAGUGUGUCCCUAACAUUCCUCUAGUAAAUUAUACCUAAAAAAGAAUAUCUGGAUAAACCAAUCAAGCAAGGAAUGAAAAGUGGCAAGAUAAAACAACUCAUGAUUAAGUUAAGUCGCCUUUAACCAUAUGAUUCUGAUCAAAUUUAGAAGUCACGAGGACUUUACAAUUACAAGCAUACUGGCUCACGCUGGACAUCGAUUAUGUGGCAUAAAUUGGCGAUGAAUUUUCACCAAAUCUUGUACAGUUUCCAGGUCUUCCCCUACCAUUGAAGUUAACUCAUGAUCAGCAACAGUUGAACAAUUGUUGUCUUUUCUCUGCAGCUCUUGAGCAACAGCAAUCAGCGUAGGAAAUCUGGAAGGUUCCACUUUCGACAUCGCCUCCUUGGGAGCCAAAUACAUGAAAAAACGAGGGCAAAUAUGUGAUUUUAUACAACGCUUGCUCAUCAGAUGGUAACCAAAUGACAACAGGUCUUACAUCAAUUCUAUACAACGCUUGCUCGACGGAAUUUCUGAUCAUACAUCACAUAUAAUAGAACUAACAUCAGUGCAUAACUCUCCAAAGUGCAUAACUCGUAGACGGGGUCCAUUGACUCCAUUGCCGCAUCAUAUACCGAAUUAAAAGUCAUACUGCCCAUACCUCUUUUUACUGACAUCUGAUACAUAAAACCUUUGAACACUUUGGAAUUUUAUUUUAGGAAUCUUUACAAACGAUGUCAACCACUCUUCUUAUGUGGGAUAUAUUGCUUUGAAAGAUUUUUUUUUGAAAUAGACAUUCAAGUUUUUUAUGCAUUCCAAACAUAUUUUUUUUAAGUGAAUAGGAAAAUAACCCCUUAAAAUUUUAAAUUCUUGCAAAUAUUUCCCUCAGAUUUUGUUAAAGCUGAUGAGGUGGCAUAUGGGAGUUAAUGUGGCAAGGUCUAUUGGCAUUUGACGUCACAUGUUUUUCUUUUUUGCAAGAAGUAGAAAGACAUUAAAAUAAGUUAUUUCAUCUUAACUAUUAAAAAUUAGUUCUUAAUUACAUACAUGUUGACUUCCUCUCUAUUUCUUUAUUUUUGCUACAAAGGCAAACCCAACCUGACUAAAUUAAUGCACUCAAAUUUCAAUUUCUUCACGCGUGUUAUGUGCUUCAACACCCUAAUGGAUUUUAGAGGAUUUGUGAUCUAUAAUCUGUGUGCAAUGCAAAGGAUUAAACCGGGUUUUAUUUGGCUUCCCAAUAUUUAGUUGAGCAUGAAGGUGGUGGCGGUUGCUGCCAUGCCUGUAAACAAUGAUUUGGGGUGCUAAGAAAAUGAUUUUGAUUUAUAUCUUUUUUUUCAAAAGAUAGCUGGUUGCUAAAUCUAUGAAUCAAUCAUCAGAGAAAAAUAUAAAUAAAUAAAAAUUACUUGCAAAAAUAGAUAAUAAAAAAUAGAAAGUAGGCAUUAUGAAUAAAAACAUAUUUAUUUAAGAUUGACAUAACGUCAAUUCUAUGAGUAAAUUUUAUUAUAUAGAGUCUCACAUAACAUACACAUUAUUUUUUGUAGGGGAUACUCAUUAUUUAUUUAUUAUUGCUGCAAAUCUCCAAGCUUGAAUCAAUUUGUGUAUGAACUGCAUGGGCACCUACAAAGUACAAACAAAUAUAUGAUAUUAUUUAUAUUUGCUAAAAAAAUAAAAUAAAAAUAAAAAAAAGACGAAGAGAAAGUAAAUCUAGACACAAUUGUUGAUGGUAGGUAAGGAUCAUAGCAAUAUUUUGGUUUUUACCGGCGCCUAGCAUUUAUUCAUACAAUCUUUCACGCACUUCUCCCAUUUUUCUACUAGUCUUUGUCCAAUGCAUUUUAAGUCACACUUAAUUUCACACCAUGCUCUUCGGAUUCCUUUGAGCUUAGUUGGCUCAAAUUCUUCAGAUGGAAAGUUGCAUUCAACAUGUGAUACAAUUAACAUAAUCAUUAACAUCAUCACAACACAUUUUCUUAUCAUGCUUACUUCCAUGACUCUUUUUGAUGUGUAUAUUUUAACAAUCUCUAUUGUAAUUUUACUUUUUUUGUGAUAUUUUAGGAUGUGCAAAAAGACCUUAUUUAUAGACACAAAAAGUGAAGGUAUAAGAAUUUUCAAGCGUGAAGCAAAACACAUGAUAAUAAUUUUCAAAUAUAAAAAGUCAAAUCAAUCUCUAUUAGAAUUCUCUGUUUAGUUAGUUUUAGGUUUCUCAAAAGUGUUGUUGUGGGCAAGUGUAGUUGUUCUAGCCUCGAUAUGGACAGUCCCUCAGGCUCCCCUUGUGACCCAACAAAAAGACCAUAUAUAUAGCCAUAAAGGUGUAUGUAUAAGAGUUUUCAAAUGUAAAGCAAAAUAUAUGAUAACUAGUUUUAAAUAGGCUUUUACAUGUGUUCAGCAGUCUUAAGGAAUACAAGAUUAAAUUUUAAAUGAUCCCUAUAUUUACAGGGACUAAACACAUAUAAAAGUCUUUUAAAUAUAGGAAUUCAAAUUAUAUAUAUAUAUAUAUAUAUAUAAAUUAAUAUUAAUGAAAUCAAGGAAUAAAAUUUUCAUAUUUUAGAGUUUAACAUCAACCAGUAUAUUGAUAACCAUCCCUUUCAAUUUGAAAAGAAUUUUAAACAAAUCUUUUCUCGAAGCGGAAUGAAGUCUUGAAAUUAACUUAGAUUCAUUUAAAAUUCUUAAGAAGAAAAAUUAAAGGCGAAUACAAUGACACGCAUUAAGUUUGAUUGACUAUGUACUCAUCAUUGAAUUAUUCAAUGAUAUGUCAUAUUUUUAUAUUAAUUUGUUUAAGAAUAAAAUCAAAUUUUGAAUGAGUUUUGCUUUACUGGAUAUCGAUCUCCAACCAAGCUUUAAGGUACCUAAUAAUUUACCAACAUUAAAACUCAAAAUGACUUUGCAUAAUGUUUACAAAUAGAAAUUAAAACUUUGAUAUAUAGUAGAAAUCAUUAUAAAACUUCAUGGGGUGAGAUAAACAUCAAUUUGUGAUAUGUCUCUGAUUUGACGUGACGUAUUAAACGAAGUCUUGAUAUCUUAAAAAAUAAAAUAAAAUAAACAUCAACAUGGGGUGAGAUAUAUUUAUAAGUGAGUUUCCGAAAGAGGUAUAAAACAUUAGAUUAAAGUGCACUUUUCAACCCUUAAGUUUUAAAAUGUUGUGAUUUUGGUCCCUAUGAACAAAAAUGACCCUCCAAAUUUAGGGAAAUAUGCUCUUUUGACCCCUAAGGUAAGGGAAAUAUGAUAUUUUGAUUAUCUUCUCAAAAAGUUGCGAUUAAAUGAUCUCUUUUUUGGAACAUGUGGCGUCUUGUCAGUAAUUUUGAGACGAAAGGGGUAAAGAUUGUAAUUUUUUUAAUAGGAGGCCAAAAUCGCAACAUUUUAAAAUUUACGGGUCGAAAAGUGCCCGAAACAUUAAUCUUAUGUUAAAUUCUUAGAUACAAAAACAGAAUGCAUACCGAGUGAAAUAUAUUAUUUCAGAUCACCAACCAUUUAUAUUUAUGUACCAAACCCAUUAGUAUUAUAUUUGAGGAUGUGUGUUAAAGUCUGCUACAUUGAUUGACAUAUGGUCUAGACGAGCGUUUAUAAAUGGGGGGUAAUUUUCACUUUACAAGUUAGUUUUAUGAGGUAAUGUUAGGCUCAACCGUAAAUUCGAUGAAGAAUCAUAUCAUAUAUGUAACUAGUGGUGCAAAUUGUAGAUUAUAGCAUUAGAAUAUUUUCUAACUGGUUGGAUUAGAGUUCAAACUAUACGGUGGUGUUUAUAUAUUUUCUCAAAUUUCAUCUUCUUUAAGAAAACACUCACCUCAUAUUUUUUUCUCUACCUCAAUUCAAUUUUCUCUAAUUUAAAAGCUCUACAACUGUUUUUUUUUUUUUUUGGACCGACGCAUUCCCAUUGAAUUUGUAUAAGUGUAUAGUGGUUUUAAAAGGUUAUUCUAAAUCAUAUAGAGGCUUAAUUGUCACUAAUUUAGCCCCCAUUUCGUUGCAUAUGUGGUCUUUCUCAUGUGACUAGUAGUUUACUUUUCUAUGCAAGUCACCAUUUCCUAUCGCUGAUAUGAUAACACUACCUUAAUAAAUGGAUACUCUUCUGAUCUUAUGAAAUAAAAUUAAUGUAUUUAGUGAUCUAACUGAGCAUGUCAUAAUUAAUGAAAGCCAGACACUAGUUUCUCUGUUUUUAUUGGCUUGUUCUUCAUCAAAACAAGUUACCAUUUCAUGGAUCAUGAUCAUCCUUAAUUAGAGGCCAAAAAUAGAACCAUUGCAUAUGACUUGUGAGGUAUCAUCAUGGACAAAUCUUUCAUGAUCAACACAUAACGUUUAUCAUAAUUGCCUCUCGAACCCAGCCCCUCGAGAAGAGAGAGCUGGUGCCCAAAAGAAAGCAUACAAUACCCUAGCGCAAAGGUAAUACAGGGCCUGGCCAAAACUAAUCGAUUAUCAUCCAACUAUUUGACUAUUACUAUAUAAAAAUAACAGAAUGCACAAGUUCAAUUGAAGCUUUCAUAAUUAACUGUCAUUCAAAUUGAGUGACUGAAAAUGUAGAAGAGAAAGGGUGUGCUUUGGUGUACAAGGUUGGAUUUUGUCUCUGAUUAGUUUGGAUCAAUUUAAAUAAAAUGUUUAUGGUGAAUUAGUAUGUGUAAGUGAUGGAGAGAAAAUUCCUAGGCCUAAGUUAAAUGGAGUAUGAAGAAUAUCGUAUAUAGUUAUUUAGUGUAGAUCUGCACAGCUUCUAUUUGAACAGAAUUGUCAACCUCAUUCUUCAGUUUAUUGCAUUUUAAACAGAAUUUCUUGUUGACACAGUGAUAGGAACCCGAAUUAAAAGAUAAAACAAAUAGUAGUAUUAUUGCUUGAAAUACAAAAUAUUACAGAAGAUUGACCGAAUCCCAGAGCAAAAUGCUGCUCCUUCAGAGUGCUAACAAUGCAUCUCUGCCCUUCUAAUCUUAAGUCUAUAUAUUUUCCUCAAUCAUUCUUAUAGGCUAUAGUUGUUACCUUAGAAACAAAAACCUUAGAGAACUGCAAUUUGCAUCAUUCCAUAUUUCCAUAAUUUUACAUAGAAAAUUCUACUCUAUCAAGGUUAAUUCAACUAUAUAUUUAGAAAUGUCUACAAACGCUAAACCCAUCUGCUUACAAAUUGCAGAGCAGCAAGCAAGGACUUUUCUGUCCAGCCAUCUGUUUGUUUAAAACAUGAAAACUCAUUUCAAUACAGAGAAGAUAUACAGGUAGGCUAUGUUUCGCAGUAAUCCGGAGCACAUGCCAUGUUGAAUUUAACAAUUUAAAAACAAAAUAUACGUUAACAACAAACUAAGCCUCAUAGACACUUGCAAAGCCACAUUAUUUGAUAUGCCUAAACUGUCCAAAACAGAACAUUCACAUAGCAACAUCUUUUGGCUCUACUUGAAUGCUAUGCAGCGCUCUCCGUGCCUUGCACAAUUGUAGUCCUUGAACAAAUUUAAAAGCAGUUUUGUGAAGUGUUACCAAAGAUUUUACUGUUGAUGGAUUUGCCCCUGUUGUUGAAAUUGACUCAAAACUUACAACAUUAUUGUUAUUGUCACCAAGGUUUUAAAUAACAGUCCAGGUCGUGUUAAGCAUUUUGCGAUUUUGGCUUUCACAAAUGUUGCAUUGCAGUUUUCAUGGUGCAAAGUAAUCACAACAUUGCACAAAUCUUAUUAAACUUAUUUACACUAUCAUAUAAUGAAUCCUUUCAAAAAAUAAAACAUAAUCUGUGGCGUCUGCAAGACUUUUUUCAGGUACUGCAGGGAAUCCAAAUUCAUGUUUCUGAUUGUAAUUUGAGACAACAUGGAAGUAAGUAGGUAAGAAGGUUAAAACCUCCUUCUGUCAGAUGACAAGUUUUAACUUAAAACUGAAUGAGAAGAUUUUGUCAAAAAAAAAAAAAAAAACUAAUAUGUAGAUAAAAAUAGAAUUAAGAAACUUUUUUAUUUGCAGGCAAGUUGCUGACUGGCUUGCGAGAUAUGUUCUUUCUAUACCAAUGGGUACUCAUUAUUUUAGUCAUCCUGUAGUUUUAACCUUUUAUGAUUGGGUACUCAUUCUUUGAUCUUUGUGUCCGUCUAUAAUUUUACACUAAAGCACUUACUUCUACUACAUUUCAGCCACUCAUAUUCAAAGCGUCAUUGUCAAACGUGGAACCCUUAAGAUUUCCUACUCUGAUUGUUGUUGUUGCUCAGGAGUUAGAGAUAAGAGAUAACAACUGUUCAACUGUUGGUGAAUUUGGAGUUAACUAAUUCAACAGCUAGAGUGGACCCAACAGCAGUACAAUAUUUGGUGUAACUUCAUCGCCAACUUACGCCUCAUGUAUUUAAUUUACUAUUGUUAUGGUUUAGUUCUUUUGGAUCUCUACUUGUUGGUAUGGAUGAAAUAUACUGAAUACUUAAUGCAAAUUUAAUGCAAAAUGAAAGGUUUGAAAUUGUAUGUGCAUUCACUUUAUUAUGUACCCUAAAAAUGACGCAUAAUGUCACUUUAUUUGAAAACCGUAUUUAUAUUUGGCAGAAUGCAUACACAAGUUCAGCACAAGAGGAAAUGAGAGUGUAAUUCAAACUUCUCUAAGGAGAGGGGGUGUAAUCUGCUUACUCUAACAAAAUCUACGGUAUAGUAUAUCACAAAUGAUUGGCGCGCAAGGUUUGUGGUGCACAAAGUUCAAGGUGGUUGUAGAUUUUAGAGUACAAUUUUUUAUUCCUACAAAUAAAAAUUAGGCUUAAUUGCAUUUUUAUUCCCCCUACUUUAUUUAUUUUAUAACUUUUCAUACUUGUCCUCGUAAGUUUAACUCAAUUGGUAAGGACAAUGCAUAAUAUAUGCAGGGUCCGGGUUCAAACUUCGGCCAUCGAAAAAAAAAUCAUCCUCACCCCAUUUUAGGGUCAAUUUUGAUGAUAUGGCAAUUUCACUUAUGACAAAUUCUGAAAUGUAUGAUGAUAUGACAUCCUCCUCACCCCAUCAUUCAUCUCAUUCCCUUUAAAACAAAGACAUGUAUGAUGAAAUUGUUCAAAACUAGAUGAAAAGAAAAACGCAAGAUUGAAUUUGGAUAAGAAUCGGAAGGUGAGAUUGAAGUAUAAGGGGAAGAUCAAGAGAAAUAAAAUUUGAAGAGAAGGGAUUAAGAGAGGGAUGGAAGAAAAUUUGGGAUUUUAGGGUUAUUAUGAUAUUUAUUUUUCAUAAAUAGAUUCUGAUUUUUUUAAUAAUUAAAUUAUUUAUUAAAACAUGAAUUAUUGAAUUAAUAUAUAUUGUAUUUUCAAAGUAUCUAUAUGAAAUAUGCCAUGUCAUAAGUGACAUUGACAUUCUUUAAAAAAAAAAAGUGACAUUGACACGUCAUCAAAAUUGACUAGGUGGGGGAUGAAAAGUGAUAAGAAGAAUGAAGUAUGGGGAUCAAAAGGAUGAAGUAUGGGGAUAAAAAAAAAGGAUGAAGUAUGGGGAUAAAAGGUUCAUUUUUAACAUAGGGGAUCAAAACUUUAAAAAAUUAAAACUAGACUGAACAAAAAUGCAUUUAAAAAUAUUGAUCAAACUAUGAAUCAUAGUUAAUAAUUGAAUCAAUCAAAUCUAUGAUACAAUUAAAUCUAUGAAUCAACCAAUCAUAGAAAACAAUCAAGAGAUAAAUAAAAAUUACUUGCAAAUUUUUUAUAAAAACUACAAAAUAGGCAUUAUGAAUUGAAGUGUAUUUAUUUAAGUUUGACAUAAGCACUAUGCUUUAUCCUUCGAAACUAAAUAGUUAUAUUAACUUUUAAAAAUAAAAAAUAAAAGAUAAAGCGAAAGUAAAUCUACCAUUGCUUAUGUAAGGGUCAUAACAAUGUUUGUUUCCACCGGAGCCUCGCAGUUCUCUUUCACACAAUCUACAAUGCACACAUCAAGUCGUAACUCACGUAUAUUUCUAGCAGUGUAACACACAUAUUUACAAAAUAUUACCUCGUAUAUUCUUUCACAGAAUCCUUUCUGUUUAAUUGACACAAAUUCUUGAGAUGGAGUUAUGCAUUCCACUUGUGUUACAACUAACAUAAUCAUUAAGAUCAUUGCAAAACCUUUUCUUUUCAUGAUUACUACCAUGAUUAUUUUCUUUGUGUAUCUUUUACCAAUCUUUUAUUAGAAUUAUCUUUUUAUGUGAUGUUUUAGGUUUCGCCAAAAGACCUUAUUUAUAGCCAUAAAAAAUAUACCAAUAAGAGUUUUCAAACAUAGAGCUAAAGACAAUAAUAAUUAAUUUUCAAAUAUAAAACGUCAAAUCAAUCUCUAUUAAAAUUCUCUUUUUUGUUAUGUUUUAGGUUUUGCUAAAAGACCUUUUUCUUUUUGAAGGAGUUUUUGCCAAAAGACCUUAUUAAUAGCUAUAAAAGUAUACUAAUAAGAGUUUUCAAACAUAGGGCUAAAGACAUAAUAAUUAAUUUUCACAUAUAAAAGGUCAAAUCAAUCUUUAUUAGAAUUUUCUUUUUUGUUAUCUUUUAGGUGUUGCAAAAAACCUUAUUUAUAGCCAUAAAAAGUUCACUAAUAAGAGUUUUUAAACGUAGAGCUAAAGUCAUAAUAAUUAAUUUUUAAAUAUAAUAAUUCAAAAUUUCAAAUUAUAUACUAGUUUAUAAAAGAAAGUAAAAAUAUUAAUUAAAUCAAAGAAUUAAAUUUCCAUACCUGUCUACUUUGGUUACUUAUCAUUUUCAAGAAGAUUAUUAUUUACUAAUGAGGAAAACUAUAACACUUUCACGAAAAACUCUAUUCACGAACGACUUUGGGAGAAAGAUAAAUGCUAUCACGAUGCUAAGCUUGAUUCGAUUUGAUUUUAAGAAAGCUAAUGCAAUUGGAAGUAUGCAAGGUGCAUGUUCCUCACUUGAUACUAGAAUUGAAACGUUUUUUCUUCAAGGAUAUGUAAGACCAAAAUUGUACCGUAUUUUCAGUUGCAGUAAACAUCUCUUUGUAUUAAUAAAGUUUUGCCAAUGAAAGAACCAAAUUGGACUCUAAAUCUAAAAUGAUUAAGCUACCUCAUCUGAAUCUAAAUCAUUUUCCCUCCUUGAAUUUUUCACAGGGAAGAAAACAUUUGAAACAUCACCUCCACUGUGCAAUUUUUGUACCCAAAGAAAGAGUCAGAAAUCACGAACUUUCAAUCUUGAGAAAAUCACAAACUAGGCUGAAGUGAGGGUCAUUGAAAACAUAGGACUCAAUCUAAUCUCAGAUACGAGAUAAAACAUCACUUAAAUAUUUACGCACUUUCGAAAUUUGCAAAUCAAAUUGAGAUGAUUAGAGUUAUCCAUGAGGAAUGUAAUUACAGUUUUACAAAGAUCACAAGAGCCAAGCAUAGUGGUUAUCGAAUUUGCUUUUGUGGCAUCAAAUGGCAUAUAAGCGUGUUGCUUGGAUCACACAUAACUUUAUCUUGCAGAUAUAUAUAUAUAUAUAUAUAUAUAUAUAUAUAUAUAUAUAUAUGUCAUAACCAAUUGACAAGCUUGAAAAGAAGAAGGAAACAAUGGCUAAAGAUUACAAGGAUCAAACGCCAGUUCCAUUAUAUUUAGGAGGUAUAGAACCCACUAUUUUGUACUCUUGUUAAGCUCAUUGCCUACAUUGGGUUUGAUUUCUGCCAAUGUAUUUCGGUCUUCUUUGAUUGUAUUUCCCAAGUAAGAAGAAGGAACCAGAUUUUUUAUGCUAACUUGGAUGAGUGGAUUCACUUUUCCUUAAAUCAUUAUAGCAAGACAGAUACGAGACUGGCCAACCUUGUGGGCUAUAGCUUAUUACUCAUGUGGAUGUGGAUAAAUAAAGAAGAUAAUUGUUAAUAAUAAUAAACCAAUAUUAUAUAAUGCUAUUAUAUACCACGUACUCAGAAGUAAAAUAAUCAAUUUUUCAACAAAAAUAGUAGAACAACAAACAAAUAAAAUGUAUAUAGAGAAUUUAAAGUUAAAAUCAAGGGUAUUAGAUAAAUCGUCAUAGCCAGCAAAAUAAAUCAAUUCUUAAUGAAGACCGUUAGAUAAUUUAGACAUAUAAAUAUUAUCUAAGAGACUAUGGCCCCUGAUAAGGUUCAAAGCCAAAUCAGACCUUCGUAACAGUAAGCAAAGAAUACGUCUUACAGUUGUGAUUGGGUUUCGGUUCUAGAUACUGUCAUUCUGGAAUCAAACAUCAUAAGGUUAUGUUUGUGAUCUCACUAAUAUAACUUAUUGGACCAACUUAUAAUAAAUAUUAAAAGUAACAUUACAAAUACACUCCACACUCAUAUUCAUAUUUCAUUCCCAGAGAUAGGAUUGCUUCGGUUUUGUGCCAUUGCCGCCCAGAAAUGUCAUGAUACUUGUAAAGAGCACUGCAUCCCCUGUCUAGCUCCAUUGCAACAGCAAACAGAGUCGGAAAUCUUGAAAGAUCGAAAAGGAAAAGUUCCGAAUCUAAACACAAAUGACUGAAAUAGUAAAAAUACUUGAAAUUUCCAACAGCAUGACUGGUAAGUGACAAAUUAUACACCUCUGUUGUAACCCGAGAGUCAGAGAGGACAGGUGACUUAGUCUUAACCUACCUGUCAUUUAUAACACUAAAUACAUACAUAUCCCCAUACCAUGAUAAACCGCAUAAAUUAAAGCUCGCAUAAUCACACAAAUUACAAAUUCAAAUCUCCUCAUUAUCUAAGUUUUCCAUUAUGUAUAAAAUAACAGAAAAACGAAGACUCGGAGUAGCAAGCAUAGUGUAAAUUGCAUAUUCAUUUUGUUGAUUGAAUGGUAUAUGCAGAUCGUUGUACGGAGGGAAUCCAAGUUUAGUACAUAGUGCAUAAAUCCUGUCGGUGCUGGUGGGUUCGCUGCACCUGUUAUACCAACAUACCUCUUUGCGAGCAUUGAAAAGAAGAAAGAUACAAUAACCAAAGAUGACAAGGAUGUAAAACCUGUUCAAUUGAGGAAGUUUAGAAUCCACAUUAUUAUUUUCAUGAGCCUGGGAUGGUAAACUCACGAAACGAAGACUGACGCCUAUUUCCUUAAGUGCUGCCUCUACCGGUUUUCUGAAUUCAGGAACCACGAAGCAUAACAUAGAUCCAACAUAAGUGCAUAACUCCUUGCUAUUUUUUGAAUCUUUGGUAGCAUCAUAAGCAGCAGAGAAUGCCAUUCCAGUGGUGGGAUCAUCUUCAUCUGGGAUAUAAAAAUUAUAUUCACUCGUACGUGGCUGAUUUGGUGGUUGGAAGUGUUUCAACUGUAGAACAGUUUAAGUUAUCUGCAGGAGUAUGAGAUGAUGGGACGAUGCAUUGAUUCAAUGCAUUUGAUGAUUCUUCUUGGUUGCCGCUUAGGGCUUUGAUUAAUCUGUUUCCCAUUUUCUAUAGAACUCAGAAGUUAGAAGAAUUUUAGAUUGAUUUUGGUUAAACUAAACAAAGUUAACGCACUAUAUAUAAUUAGUGUAUGUAGUGUUUCUGCUUAAUGGAGAGCAUUGGAAAGUGGGUGGAAGCUAUUGUUGGAUAUUCUCAAAAACCGCUUUUUUAAUAGAGUCCAUCAAUAGAGAAAUGAUAUAUGUACAAUCAUUUUGUGACAAUUUUGGAUAAUUUUCUCUCUCAUACUUACAUCAUAUUUUUAUUCCCUCUUUUAAUUUUUCUCUCUUCAUUGUUUUUGACCAAUAAAAAGAUAGAAAAGCAAGGUUGUCACCAAAGUUGUCAUCAAUUGGAUGUACAAAUAUCACUGCUCCCAUCAAUAGUAUUGGGAAGGAAUAUGAAUUAAUUAUACAAAUAAAUAGAUUACUGCAUGCCGUAUGAACUCAUCUUAUAUUCAUUCAUUUUUUCAUUUGGAACAUACUUUUAGAUCACGGGGUCGAGUUACAAUACAUUAGGAUUCAUUUUUUUUAUUGAAGGAAAUACAUUAGGAUUCAUGGAAAGGGUAAAAGGUGGAUUUCAUUUUUUUCAAUUGAAACUAAAAUAAACGAUUGUGAGGUGAGAAGUAUUUGUUCAUUAAAAAUUAAGUGAACAAGAAUUGUAAUAAGCCUUCAAGUAAAUGGAGAAUCAUUGAGCUUUGAUUAAUAUUUUUAAAGAGUUGUUUACUUGCUAAAGAGUUGUUUCUUAGAGCUGAUUUUUAUAUAGACCGAUUCGGACUUCCUACUUUCCGUUUUCCUUAGGUUUCUUGCUAUAUCUUUUAGCUUUUUUUCUUGCUUUUUUUUUCUUCCAAGAGCUUUGGUUUGGUCUCCCCUCUUGUACAGUUUUUCUUUUUUAUUGAUAAAUUUUUUUAACAAGGUGAUAGAGGAUGGGGUAACCUUGGAGUGUCAACCUAGUUGGGAGGUCAAGCUAUCCUCUUAUGUCUUCGUCUUCCUUUACUUUUGAUUCAUUAAAAAAAAAAAAAAAAACUAGCUAAAGAGUGUGCUGUUAUAAAAAUGGUGAGAUUUCAUUAUACUAACAAUAUAUAUAAAUUAAAAUAUAUUAAUAAUCAGAAUAACAAUAUAAUAUAAACAUACUUCUUUUACAGUAUAAUAAACUUCAUUCAAAAACUAAAAUAAACCUAGUACCAUUCAAUUGACAAUGAGUUGGACAUUUCACAUCCACAUUUUGAUAUCAACUCAAGCGUUUAAGAGAGUAAAAAACACACUAACAAAUACACAUAAAAUAUUAGAAGUCAAGUGUAAAAUAAAAAAGUAAAAUAUUAAUUUUAACAAUCAAACUAAGUUCUUUUACAUAUGGCCAAUGGUCAAGAUUAAUGCAAGAUCCGCACUCUUUAAUUUCAUCCAUCAACGAAAAAAAAUGUUGGUGUUUGCUUAUAUCGAUUAUAUGUGCUCUUUGAAAGGAAUAGAUCGACCUAACAUUUGCGGAUACAUCAGAAUAGAUCUAUGGUGGAUCACUCUUACGAUUGAUCCACCAUAGACACUUAAGGUUAAAGUUAACAGCUACGGAUUUAUUUGGCGAACAAAGGAAAAAAUGAGGGACCAAAACGCCAAUUUUAUUAAUUGUGGGACUAAAACGAAAACAUGAAAUUAUUUAAGGGACAAGGUGAUCUAAUAAGCCUAUAUUUAAUUAAUAUUUAAAUUAUUUUUCAAUUAAUAUUACAGGGGUAGAAUCGAGAUAAAUAAUAAUAAGUUAUAAACUACUUGAAUUAACUUAUCAAAAAAUGUUAUAAGCUAGUAAAAAUAACCUAUAAACUCUUGAAAUAGUGAAGGUAAACAAACAGGGUCUUUUUUAAUCAAAUGAGUUUAAAAGACUAAGGUAUAAACUGUAAGCUCAAAAAAAGGUCUUGUUAAAAAGACUCUAAGACGAUAGGUAUUGGGGUUUCUAGGUAUUGGGAUUUUUAGGUUGAUGAAUAUUUUUUAUCUUAGUAAGAUUGUGUCUCUAAUUCAAAUUUACAUAGGUUUUGUUUGUGAGAUUAAAGGGAAAAGGAAGGGAUGAGUUUGGAUAAAAAGAAAGAUCAAGUGGAAGAAUGGAAGAUUAUGGGAAAAGAUGAUUUUGGAGGUUUAUUUUUUUUCAUAUUACAAAAUCUCUCUCUCUCUUUUUUUUUUUUUUUUUAAAAAAAUUCGGUAUCCGAUCCAAAGAUCGACUAAUCCGAGGAGACCAAUCUCACCGCGGGCCGUUCUAAGUCAAAGCAAAGCUCUGUAUGGACUCAAAAAAAUUAUAUUUGAAGAAGUUUUUGAAGGUUUUGUAUGAUUUUUAAAUCUCAAUCUAUGUUGUAAUACUACCUCCGUCUUUAAUUAUAAGACCCUUUUGAGAAUUUUUUUGUCCCUUUUUAUAAGACCAUUUUGCUAUUUCCAACUACAUUAAUUAUUUCUUUACAUACAUGCCCCUAUUAUUAUACAUCUUUUUCUUAAAUCAACAAUAAAUAAUAUAUGGAAAAUAGAAACUAACUUUGUCUCUUAAGGAUAAAAUUGUAAAAACAAUAAUGAUUACAAACAGCUUUAAUACAAAUAUCCACUUUCUUAAUUCCCUUAAUUUUAACAAAAGGGUCUUAUAUAUAGGGACGGAAGGAGUACUAUUUUUAAAAUUAAAAUUAUAUUAAUUAUAAAUUUUUAAUUAUUCAUUUUCUAAAAAAAAUACCAUUUCAUAAAAUGUGCAAGAUUUCUCAAUUAUUCUUCAUAUUUUCAACCCCCAAAGUCCUCCCCUCCAAACUCCAAUACAAAGCCUUGGUGUGUAUUGAACUAAGUGGAGUCCUCUAUUUAUAUAGAGAUUCUGUAACUGUUUUAGCAAAAAUUGCGACGGCAGUUACUCUAAUGGAUAAAAUUAAAAUGAAGUUUAUCCAUUAAUCAGUUCAACAACACUUGUUGAUAGGAUCAAAAGAAACAAAUCCACAAAAGUGGAGGAAACAAACUAUUGGAUUUGAAUGAAGGAAAUAUAAGAAAUUUAAUUAAAUUCUUAUUCUUAUCACAACCACCAUAAGCUAAAUUUAUGGAAAGUGAUACUCUCGAAUAAAAAUAAUUACUAUUAUUUUUAUCAUUAUCAAUUAUUUAAAAUUAAAUACCACAAUUUAAACACUACUAAUGUGUCUUCUAUUUUAUGUGGAACCCACAUUCUAUUUUUUCAAUUCACACAACAUUAGAUCAAAGUAUAAUUAUUUGGUGUUUAAUCUUCCAAUUUAUUUUCCAACACCACACUAAUGUUCCAACACCAUCCAUGCUUGCCUGCUUUGGUUGUUGUAUCCUUAUCCUUUUCAAGAAAUUUACUAACGACGAAAAUUAUAACACUUUCAUGACAAACUCUAUUCGCGAACUUAGGGAGAGAGCUAAAUGUGAUCCUGAUGCUAAGUUUGAUGUUCCAUUUGAUUUUAAGAAAGUUAAUGCAUUUAGAACUAUGCUUGGUGCUUUGUUCAAUACUAUGCAAGGAUGCAAUUAUUUUUCUAUUGAUGCAAAUCAAUUGCCAAAAUUCAGGAAUUGGUUCUGUUUGUCAAUAUUUGGGGAAUACAUCAUUACAUUAGUUUGGUUUGAUAUGCAUCAUUUGGAUUUUAUGAAUGAUUUUUUGGUUAUGCCUCCAUUCUAAAGAAAGCUAAUGCAAUUAGAACUAAGUAACAUUCUUGCAGUUCACCUUAAGCUUAUGUAUUAACAAUUAUAGAUUUCUACACAUUCUUUUUUGCUCAACUUGUAGAUUUCUACACAAGCAUUCUUUUUCUCGUUCCUUAAAUGUCUUGUAUUGAACUUAUGCAUUCUGCCAAAUUUAAAUAUGAUAAUCCAAUAAAAUUUAUUUCAGAAUUAAGUUUUUAAAAGAAAAUCUGUGCUUGCUUCUAUUUUUUCUGUUGGAUAUUUUUAUUCACUGUCAUUUUUGUCUUAGGAAAAAAAAAACGUUUCAACUCUAAUAACACAGGCACCUGUUGUUUAAAAAAUGACACGUCAACAAAACUAACCGAAAAGUAGAUGUCAGUUGCCGAUAGAAACUAAUCACCAAAACUAACGAAAGUGUGUUUUGUCGAGUUUAAAAUGUUUUGCUUUUUGUUAUGAAUUAGUAGAACAUGGUAUCGAAAUCUAAGGGAAUAACGUUGUCAAUGUUUACACAAUUUCAAUCCAUUCAUAAUUUCAGUCAAAGUUUGCACAAAAUAAACAGAAUACUUCAUCCAGAGCAACAUUAGACAAAUAUGAAGGUAGAAUAAGAGGACUCAAUUCCACCGAACGAAAACUAAAAUGAAAAUACAUAAACCAGACUCGAUUCUUAGUAAUUUUUUAGCAAUUCCAUUUCUACAUAAAAGUACGAAAUUGGAUUCUCAAUCUAAAUAUGUUUCGUCCAUAAUCUAAAUUUGUAGCUAUUGGACUCUGGUGAUUUUGAAUGGAUAGAUUUGAUUCAUCCGCAGGCGUGUUAUUACCAUUGUUGAUGGAAUUCUUCAUUUUAAAGGGUGAGAAAUGAUGACAAACUUGCUUUAGGAUUUGUUUUAAACUAGUAAACAAAUUACUCCAACGCACUAUAUACAUAAGUGUGGUGUUUAUUGGAAAGGAACAAUUGAUAGGAAGCUGUUAAGGUUCCUAAUGAUUUGCAUUUGAAGCCCAUCAAAUAUUGGGAAGGAAAAAAGGAGAAUACAAAUGAUUACAGUACUACUCAUUCAAUUUCCUUCAAUCAUUCGAUUUCCACAUGCACGCUCAUCUUACCUUAACUCGUUCAAUUUCUUUAAUUUGACCAUUUACUACGGUAUUUUGGAGAACAUCAAUUAAAUUCACAUAGUCUUCUCUUUCUAUGUAACCGAUGAAAUUGAAAAUUAAUGGAUUUAACUUUUCAUGACUAUUGGGAUUUCACUACGAUCGAAAGGAGUUAAAUCCUUUUUAGGUAUGAUCAUCUCCAUUUCUUUCAUUUGAAAUGAUAAAGACAAAUAAAAAAUUUUAAAAAAAUAUGAAUAAUCAAUUAUAUAUUCAUUAUCUAUUUUUUGUGUCUACCUCCCUCUAAAUUAUAUACUCCAUUUAGUCCUGAAAUGAAAUGAAGAGGAUCUUAACUCCUAUCGGUCGUAGUGAACCCCAAUAGUUUUGAAAGAGGAAGGUGUACAUUUGAAUUAUUUAGAAGAGUUAUCAAUGGUUUGAAAAACAUUUCAAUUGUUUUCAUUCGAGUCGUUGUAAAUCAAUUUUAUCAUAAAUCAUUCAUAGGUGUUUUAAUUCUAAUAAAGAUUAAUGGUUCUUAGAAGAUUUAUUUAAGACAAUACAAAUUGGGAAAAAAAAAUCAUCUCAAGUUCCAACACAUUUCAAGACGGAAGAACGCUCAAAUGGAUGAAAACUGCAAAAUUUGCACCCACCAUACUGCCCAGGCGCACGACUACGACAAAAAUUUCCUUUUUGCUUGUUUUCCUAGCUUGAUCGAUGGAAAAAGCACAAUUCUCAUAUCUCAAACCCUAAGUAAUGAUUCAAUAUAAACAGAGACUCUUGCACACACUUUUACUCCCUCCGUCCCAAAUUGCAUGUCACUUUGGAAAAAAAAAUUGUCCCAAAUUGUAUGUCGCUUUACAAUACCAAUGAAUCAUUAAUGUUACUUUUCCUAUUAUACCCUUCACUAUUUAUUGCCUUAUCUACUUCCAAGUCAUUCAUUUAUCUUUCUCAUAUCAUUUAUUAAGGAUAAUUUUAUAAAACAACUCAUAAUAUCUAUUUCCCACACAAAAUUAAUUACAUUUCUUAAUACGUGUAAAAUGCCCAAAACGUCAUACAAUUUGGGACGGAGGGAGUAUUUAUUAAGAAAGUCAGCGGUACAAGGCAAACAUCAAACAUCAGAGGAUCAAGCAAGACCGAACCUGAGGUUGGACGAGGAUGGCGACCGUCCUAGACCCCAAAAAAUAAGUUUAUAAUUUGGGCCCCAAAAUAAAAUAAAAUAAAAGGAUCCAUUGAGCCAAAAAAAAAUUACGUAAAAAUUAUUUUGUAUGAACAUUUGAAUAUUAAAUAAACAAUUCAAUGUUGUUUGUAUGAUGUUUGCCGCUUUAUUAGAUUAUUUCUUAAUGUAAUAAAAAAUAGGUUUAAUACAUCGUUUGAUUCCUUAAUUUAUUUUCUGUUUUUAAUUUGAUCAUCUAACUAUUAAACGUUUUAAAUUGGUCAUUUAUCUUCUUUCAGUCCUUCAAUUUGGUCCUAUUUAAUUUAUUUUAACCCCCAAAAAAAGGGGACCAUUGGAUAAAUGAGGUCUAUCAGAUCUAACUGUGUAUCACCAACACAUAAUUUAUUUUCUUUUCUUCAUCUUCUUCCCUCAUCUUCAACUUUUUUUUUGUUCUUUCAAAAAUUCAUCAUUUAAAAUCGAAUCACCAAAAUCGGAUCACCAAAACCCAUUAACUCCACCACCAUCAUUCAAACAUUUAAGUAUAUAGUCAUUCGAAAAUUGAAAUUCUAAAUAUGCUUUAGCUAUAUCAUGGAGAUGGAUGAUGAAGACUGCAUGAACGUGAAUGAUCUGGUUAAUAACGUGCGGCAAAAUCUCGUGGCAUCACGUGACAAUCAAGAUCAUAGUUUUAAAACCCGGCUCGGACCGGCCGGUUGGACCGGUCGAACCGGAAAUCGGUGGUAUGGCCGGUUCGAGUGGCAAGUAGGAUCGGUCAUGUUAUCAGACCGGUGUGAACCGGCGAGAAUCGGAAAAAACCGGUUACUCGGCCGGUUUACAGAACCGGACCGAGUCUAUAAAUAUUUAAAAAAUAAAUAAAAAAUUGCAGGCGGAGGCGGAACAAAUAGUUUAACGCUUCAUCGUCUUCAGUUAGCCCACUGCCAUGCUCGUUUUUGCAUUUAAAGGUGUCGGUCACUGUAUUUUUUAGUAGGAGGAGGUAGAAAAUUAUUAGUUACUACUGUAUGAAAAAACAGGAUCAGAAGGGCAUCAGCGUUUUUGUGAAGAGAAAAUAAAGGGCCAGAUGUAGUUUGUUCAUUUUAUAGAAAUAACCAGUACUAAGUGAAAAUUGAAAUCUUCAAAAAUUGGAUUAUGGGGAAGUGGUUUUCAUUCUUCUAGGCGGUUGGAUGACAUUGGACACCAUGUGGCAUAAAUGAUGCAUAGAAGAAGAAUAGUCUAUAGUUAUGUAUUGUUUUUUUUGAGGGAAUAGUUAUGAAUUGUUAUUGGCUAGUGUAGAGCAUUAAAGAAUAGUAAAAUACAAUACAUUUUAAAUUGGAUGAACUCAUAUACGGAGAGUUGCAGAAUAUAUGACUAUAUCUAAAAUAUUUAUUUAUUUUUGAGCAAAUACUAAAAUAUUUUCUAUUUAUUUAUGACAUUGUGGAAAUUAAUAAUUGUUAUUAUGAUUUUUUUAGACCAAGUGAUAUGCUUUAAUCCGAUUAAAUACAAAAACAAAUUAUUUUUAAAAACCGAGUUGUACAACCGAGUCAUCCGGUUUAUCCCGGUUCAGUCAUGCGGUUCAACCAGUGACCCAGUGGUUCGACCAAUAAACCAGUGACCCAGUACCCUAACCGAAUCGACGACCGGUCCGAGUUUUAAAACUAUGAUCAAGAUAAUAUUUCUUAAGAGGGCCAGAUAAAAUCUCCAAUUAGUAUUGUUUAUGUCCGCUUUGAAGUGUGUAGAAAAUUUUGUUUGGUUCCUUUCAAUAAUUCAAUGUAUAAAGCUAUGUAAGAUGAGUUUUGGUGAUCCGAUUUUGAAUGAUGGUGGUGGUGUUAAUUAUAAAUUUAAAGGUUUGAUUAUAUGGUUUUUGUUGAAGUUUUAAUGAUCAAUUUUUGAAAGAACAAAAAAAAAAGUUGAAGAUGAUGAAGAUUGAUGAAGAUGAGGGAAGAAGAUGAAGAAAAGAAAAUAAAUCAGGUGUUGGUGAUACACAGUUAUAUCUGAUAGAUCUCAUUUAUCCAACGGUCUCCAUUUUGGGGGUUAAAAUGAAUAAAAUAGGACCAAAUUGAAUGAUGGAAAGAAUAUAAAGGACCAGAUUGUCAAAUCAGCUUCGAUGCAGUGCAAAUCAAUUCAAUGACUUUGGAGUCACCAAUGUUGCAGAUCCGGAGACAUGAGUAUUCCGGUGACUUAAAUAUUGUCAUAUGUGUAGGCUUUAGUACUUUUUCGUUUUAUGCUAUUAACAUGGAUGUUGAGAGGUUGUUCACAUAUUCAUCCUUUUUGUUUUUAGCGAAUUUUCAUUGUAUCGAUGUACUCUAUCAAUUUGAAUGAAUGAAUAUCAUUUACUUUUGUCAAAAAAAAUACUCCCUUCAUCACUAUUUAUAAGAAUAUUUGUCGAUCACUUUUUAAGCUUAUUAAGAAAAAUUGAUAGUAUCCUUCAAAAAAAAAUUGAUAGUAUAAUAAAAAUAUAUAAUUUGUCCUAUAUAUAAAUGCUUUCGUUAUGAUUUUUUUAUUCCAAUGCAAUUGGUAUUCCCUCCUAGCCUAAAUUAUAGGAAAAAUAUUUUUUAAGGACAAACUUAGGCUUUAAUAUCUGGGAUAGGUUUAAUCUGAUAUAUAUAUAUAUAUAUAUAUAUAAAAGGAAUUCGAUUUAGACUAACAAAAAUGCCUAAAAAUAAGACUUUGAAUAUAAAUAUUUUUUUGGCUGGGCUACAAGCUCUAUUAAAAAAGGUUAGACUUAGACUAAGUAAAAAGCUCUAUCAAAAUGUCUAGAUGUCUUAACUCAACUGAUAAAUACCAAAAUUGUAAGGUCAGACAUUGUGAUCCGGAUUCAAACCCGGAACCUCACAGUUGUGUGUGAGUUUAAUAUCAGUGCCUUUACCACCACUUCAUCUAAGACACAAAAAAAAGAAAAAAGAAAAAAAGCUCUAUCAAAGUUGAUAGAUUGACCUACAAAUGGCUAUCUAAUAAAAAUAAAAAACUAAAGUCAAUAGUAUAGCUUGUAGAAUAACAUGAUAUUAAGUUCUUAUAAAACAAUUAACUGUUUUUUCUAAUGCAUGCAUGAUUUAUAGAAUAAUAUCAAAUAUACUAGGCAUUCAAUAUCCUGAAAAGUAGUUUUUUUUUUUUUUUUUUUUUUUUUUUUAAUAAAUGUGACUGGAGGAAGUAUUAAAUAUUUAUGUCAUGAUUGCAUUUGUUGAGAGGAGUUUUUCAAAAAUAAAAUUGACAAAAUUUCAACUGCGAUCCACAAUGAAAAUCGAGUUGAUUCCAAUCAAACCAUUGUGAUCUUGAGAGAUGAGAACGCAAUCGUUGAGAACUUUGUGGUUUAGAAGAACUUAAGUCUCUAUCUUGGAACCAAAAUUGCGAUCCUUGGUCUUGUCUUUUGCCUUGAUUCCAAUCAAACCAUUGUGAAUGUUGUCUUCUUUUAUUUCAUGUAAUUGAAUGAUUUUGUUUUAAUUUUUUCUUUUGUUCGAUGUAAAUGAAUACCUUAUCGUAUGAAUGAAUGAUUUAGUUUAGUUUUGUUUCUUUUAUAAAUGAUUUGAAUGAAUGGAUGAAUUUAUGAAGGUUGAAUGAUGUUGAUUUUGUGUGGUUGGUUUUGCACCGACAAUUUGGCCGUCCACGAUGCACAAAAACUUGUAUAAAUAAACGUGUUUGAUUCAUUUGUUGUAAAACGCAACAAGAACUAUGAUCACUUAUCCGGUGGAUUUGAACACAAGAAAUAUGUCAAUUGACAUGACAAUAUGAUCAAAUUUUUAACAACCUCUUGGAAUUAAUACAUUCUCUUUCAUCAUUACUCUACUUGAUAAAGUAACAUUUAUCAUUCUAUGUUAUUUUACAUGCAAUUUUUGUAUCUAGGUCAUUAUAUUUUAUUUGUUCUAAUUUACAACAAAUGGAUGGAGAUGGUUUGUGGGAGGAAACUUUUUUUUUUUUUUUUUAAGAAGUGUGGGAUUGAGAGUUCCUGUUAAGGUAUAAAAUAAAAUGCAACGACACUAAUGUUCCGCUGGUGCAAUGACAAUUUACUGUGGUUGAGGACGGAAUGACAAUUAACUGUUGUUGGGGGGAAAUUUGGUCACUAUGGAUGGGUUGGGAGAAAAUUUAGAUGUAAAGUCUGCAUUUCUGAAUGGACCACUUGAAGAGGAUGUGUAUUACACAACCACCAGGAUUUGAAGUAAGUGGGAAGGAGCAUAUGGUGUACAAGUUACAAAAAGCCCUCUAUGGCUUGAAACAAACACCUAUAGAAUGGAAUAAGAGGAUUGAUCACUUCCUAAUUCAAAAUGGAUUCAGAAAAUGCAAAGUAGAAUAUGAUAUAUAUAUGUUCAGAAACUGAAUGAUGAAAACAUUACUAUAAUCUGCUUAUAUGUAAAUGACUUACUAGUAACUGGAAGUAAUCCAACUGAGAUUGAGAAGUUCAAACACACUAUGAAGUGUGAGUUUGAAAUGACUGAUUUGGGAAGAUUAUCCUAUUUCCUUGGAUUUGAGUUCACAACUAGCAAAGCAGGCAUAAUGAUUGUCGCGUCAUUUUUCGGAGAUCAAGACUAUUUGAUUAGCUUUUGACUCACUAAUUUAUUUCACGACUGAACAUUUAAUUUUUAAGAAAAAAGGGGAAAAAAGUUCAAACAACCCCAUAUUGAAAAGAUUUUGGGUUCGGGGGUUAGUUACAUAAAGGGAAGGUGUUAGCACCCUUUAUGUCUGUAGUACUCUACGGGAACCUCUUGGUUUUAUUUAAUUUAAUGUGCUAUAACUUGCUUGCUUUUGAAAAGAAGGAAUUAAUGUGAUGAAAAGGAAAAUAAAGUGAGACCUGAUUUAUCUACAUUUUUAUUGUUUGAAAGGACAUGGUCCUCUGCCUACGUACCCGUGAAGGAUCAAAACCUCGUAGUUCGGGGUAGAAAAUGACGUUUGAUUUGUUUUGUGUUUUUUAUUAGUUUUGAAAAAGGUUUUAAAUAAAAAAGCCAAGUGGCAAAUUGGAAUUUGUUUGUGUUUUUUAUAUUGAAAGAAAUAGGCUUGAAAUAGAAUUAGAAUUGAUUUGAAAUUUGAUUAAGAAAGAAAAUAAAAAGAACGAUCACUUGAUUUGAGAAUCAAGGUUUAUUGUAAAAAAAGGCUUUUUUUUUGUGAUUUUUUGUUAUUUGCAUGUUUUUGUUGUUUUUUUUUUAAUAAUAACUAAAAUUAAAACUAACGGAGCAAGAAAGUAAAAGCGUAGUUACUUAGUAGUGAUCCUAAACUAAAAAGCAUAAAAAUAAAGCAUACACCCACACACGCACCCAUGCAUCUACGACUAUUACAUAAAAGCUUAUGAUACAUUCUAAAGUCCAGUGGAAUAAUAAACCUAAACUAAUAAAGAAGCAGGAGAAUAAAAAGAACAGCCACUGUCUUGCAAUUGGAAUUGGAAUGGAACAGCCACGUCAAACACCUGCAAAUAAAUGGAUGGACACUCGAAAAUUGAAAGAAAAGCCACGACAACAGCUAAUUGUGAUUAAUGAAGCCCCUGCAAACAAGUAAACAGAAGGACACGCAGCAAAAGGGAUUAAAUACAAACACACAAGCCGUGCCACAUGAAUUAAUCCAAACGCAGAUGCAAUGAUAUAAAUGAAAAGGCAAUUGGAAUUGAAACUAGAGGCACAACCACUAAUAAUUGAAAUCCAGAUAUAACACGUAGCAGCAAGAGAAUUAAUUGAGUUUGGAUGAAUAAUAAAAAAAAAACAAAAUGGCAAUUGAAAUCAAAAUGAGUUAUUUACGGUUGAAUGAAGUUUAAAAGCAAAGUUAUGAAUCCAAUUCAAUAUGAAUAGUGGACCGAUGAAAGUAAAACAAGGGUGAUAAAAAAAAUAUAUAUACAAAGAUUUAUGGAAAUAUAUGAAUACGGCAAGGGAAAAUGGUAGGGAUUGGAUCCAAAUAAUUCAACAAUAGCGAUGAAACAUAUAUAUGGAACUACGGCUGUAAAAAUCAAACUGAAGCUGAAAUUAAAAGAAACUACGGUUUUGGUUUGCAGGUUUGUGGAAUAUUUGUGUGUGAAAAUUGUGUUGUCGGGGUCCAAUUGUGUUGUUGCAGGUUGCUUUUUAUAGGAUUAGGAGUAGGGUUAGGGUUUGUUAAAAGUGGAGAAAAAAAUGUGAUAACACUGCUUGAAUUGGGGAGGAAGCAAGCAAACACGUUUGACAGGAUUUGGCUGUACAGCUUGCAUUUGGAUUGGGACAAUUUUGGAUAUUAUUGGACAAAAAUGAAAUAAUAAUAAUAAUAAUAAUAAUAAAAGAGGUAAAGACUAGGAAACAAGAUAAUAAUAAAAAUGGGAUAAAUACUAACAAAAAAAGAUGAGAUUAGAAUAAAGAAAGAUUUUUUUUUUAACACAAAAUUAAAGUUAACUAAUUAACUAAACAAACUUAAAUAAAAGAUGGAAUUAAAAAUGAAAUAAUAAAAAAAAGAAAUAAAGAGAGAAGAAGGCUCGACUCGGAACCAAAAAAUGAGGUAUUUUAAAAUACCUUUUUGCCGAAUUUUUUACUGAAAAAUCAGGGAUUGAUCAGAGUCAAAUGACACGUGUCAGUGGGAUCUUGGGUCAAAAAUUGGGGUAUGACAAUGAUGUAUCAGCAGAAGUACAUUGGAUAACUGCUUGAAAGAUUUCAAAUGAUUGAUUGCAAUAAUGCAUCAAAUCCAUCUGAAACAAAUGCUAAACUAGAUGAAUGCAGUAAUGAAGAAAAGGUGGAGUCUACUGAAUUCAAACAUAUAGUGGGAUCACUGAGAUACUUAUGCAACAGCAGACCAGAUAUAUGCUUUGCAGUAAGUAUCAUCAGUAGAUGCAUGAAUGAUCCAAGGAAGUCUCAUCUCACUGCAUCAAAAAGGAUAUUGAGAUAUGUGAAAGGCAGAUAUGCGAAAGGCACACUGAAGUUUGGUUUGUUAUUCCCAACUGCAAACAAAGAAGGAGAAGCUGAACUAGAGGGAUACUCUGAUUCAGACUGGUGUGGAGAUAGAAUGGAGGAAAAGCACCUCUAGCUACCUAUUCAAGUUCAAUGGUGCUGCAAUCUCAUGGUGCACAAAGAAACAACCAGUCACUGUUCUAUCUUCCUGUGAAGUUGAGUACAUUGCUGGUACAUUUGGAGCAUGUCAAGCAAUCUGGCUUGACAAUGUGAUGAAGGAUUUGAAUUGUGAAGUAAAGAAACCACUGAAGCUGAAGAUUGACAAUAGUAAAUUUGGCCAAGAAUCCAAUUGCACAUGGCAGGAGCAAGCAUAUAAAAACUAGAUUUCACUUUAUCAGAGAACAAGUCACAAAAGGAAUGAUUGAAGUGGAAUACUGUCCUACUGAAGCUCAUCUUGCAGAUGGUUUCACAAAAGCUUUGAAGAUUGAUAGGUUCACUUGCUUGAGGGACAAGUUAGGUUUUAUAGAAUGUUAGGGUCCGUUUGGUUCGAGAAUUAGGAGGGGAGGGGAGGGGGAGGGAUUUUUACGGAGGGGAGUGGAGGGGAGAUAUUUUUAAUUAAAAGUGUGUUUGGUUCACAAGGGGAGGGGAGGGAUUUUAACAGUAUUUUACCGUUUUACCCUUAAACUUAAUUAAAUAAAAGAAACUGUUUGUUUUUACGAUUUCAGAAACUGACAAAGACAAGCACACAUCUAAGCCGCUAUUUUAUCUUAAACUGGCUCAUGUAUUUUGCUCCAAGCAUCAUAUUGUUUUUUUUUUUUGGCUUUUUUUAUCGGAGCAAUUCUUUGUAAUUUUUUUUUUAUAAGAGCAAUUCUUUGUAAUCCUUGCAUUUUUUUCCAAUUACUUUCGUAAAAAAUAGCAUAGCUCUUAAAUAUAUGACAUAAGAAUUUUCAAAAUCAUGGAUAGUGCUUAUUAAUUAACAAUUGUAAGAUAAAUGAAAUUUGUUGCAUAUGAACAAAUAAGACACAUGAAAGUGACUAUGACUACUGUUAACUAUUUCUCCUUAAAAAAAAUAAUGAUAAACAUCAUAACAAAACAGUCUCCCUAAAAAAACUCAUAAACAUCAUAACACCAUCAUAGUAUGAUUAAUCAGAAGAACCAAAGACAGUUUCCAUUAUGACUGCUUUGCGUGCUUUGGGUGGACACUGAAGAAUCAUUCUAAGUAUGUCUACAUCUUUCAUGACAACACGAUAUAUCUUAGGCAAUUAAUUUGGGUCACAUCCACACUCCUCUAAUAAAUUCCAAGUCUCUUCUCCUGAAAUUGAAGGCAACUCGUGUUUAUGACGUUCUCUCGUUAUUUCAUUUCCUUCCCGUAUUGCAGCAUUUCCUUCUCUGAGUGCCUCUGCAACCACUUUCAUUGACUCUUUAAGUUCAAUAAUAUCAUUGUAUGUCUCUUUAUUCUUAGCCACUUUCAAUCUCUUCCUUUUUCCACCACUUGCCAUGGUUGAAGGAUCAUAUGAUUGUGUUUCAGGUAAAGUAAAGUCAUAAUCAGGAGCAUCAAAGCUCUCCAAAGUUACCUCAUUCCGAGCAACACGGUCAUCAAUAUCUUGAAUAGUUUCAACAAAAUCUUCCUCAGUGAUCGAUGCCCCUCGUUUUCUGGUCUAUUUAAAAGUUCCAGAUUCAUCUCCAUCAGCUCGGUUAGGCCCAUGAAGUAUUGAUAUCUUUUUAUAGUUUGGAAAUGAAUCAACUCUCCAAUGUGCUGCUUUUGGUUUCGACUGAAAAGUAAGUUUGACACAAGUUGUAAAAUUUUUGAUCAAUCAAAAAAUAUUUCAAAAUACAAGAUUUACAAAAUUUACCUCAAUUAGAGCAACCCAAACUGGUUCUUCCGCAUCCCAUAACUGUGUAGUUGAAUUCCAAGAAAACCCACUCAUACCACCUUUAAAAAUUUCGUGAUACUCACUGUAGUUUCUUUUCAAAGUUUUCCAACGAUUUUGUAUCUUCACCUUAUCAAUUUGGUCACCAAACAAUCUCACGAGUUCAUCUGUAACAUUGUUAUAUGCUAUUGACGUAAAGGUACCGUUAACUUUGUUACCGUUUUCAAAUUCUUGCAUGAGAGCAUCAACAAGAGCAUCAUCCAUGGCUUUAUUCCAGGUCAAAGACCCAGAAUUACCAUUGUUGGUUGACAAUUGCUUUUUCGAUGUCAUAAUCUAUAAAAAUGGUCAAUUAUAACAUAACUACAUUAAUAAAUAUAAUUAACAUGAAGUUUCAAUAUCAUUCACUUGACAUCAAUUUCAAAUAUACAUUUAGUCCAAACACACACAUAUAUAAAAAACACCAUAAUUUAAUAAAUUCAGUACUACUUCAUCAAAGAAAAACCUAACUCAAAAUAAUAAUAUAAAUUGCAAUGUAAUCCAUUUAGGUUUGACCAUUAUUUUCAUAAUUUGACCACAUUUGAUGCGCUGCACCAUUUUUUAUAAUUCCACCUUGAACAAAUUCAUCCAUAUCACUUCUUGAUGCCUCAUGAUUGUCAUGGGAUACAUUUUGAUUUGCAAGUUCGGCAUCUACUUCAGCUAUAAGGUCUUCAUUUGGUUCUGCGCUCAUUAGAUAAUUGUGAAGAAUGCAACAUGCAAAAAUGAUUAAUUUCUGAGCUUUGACUCCAUAAGCGGGUUCUGUUGAAUUUGAUAAAAUCUCAAAUCUUUUUUUUAAUACACCAAAGGCUCUUUCAAUUGCAUUUCGUAAAGACGCAUGCCGAAGAUUAAACAAUUCUUUAUAAUUUAGGGGUGGAUUUCUUGCCGAAAAUUCUUUCAAGUGAUACCGAACUCCUCUAUAAGGCGUAAUAAGUCCACUUGUCAACAUGAAACCAGCAUCAACUAGAUAAUAUUUUCCUAUAGUAAAGGUAAAUAAUAAAUGUGAUAGUUUGAAGUAUAUAAUAUAAGUAGUUAUAACUUUAUGUUGAUUCUUAUAUUACCUUGAGGAAUUUUAAGUUUAUCUUCUCGUGUUAAUGCAUUCUUUAUUAUUCUUGAGUCAAAGGCGGAGCCUUCCCAUCCCGCAAGCACAUACGUGAACUUUAAAUCAAAAGUGCACGCUGCUAAAACAUUUUGUGUUGGAUACUCUUUCCUACCACGAUAAUGAGGGGCGUCUUUUGCAGAUACCUUGACUCGUAUAUGUGUUCCAUCUAUAGCACCAACACAAUCCUGACACAAUAUAGUAUUUUUCUAUCAAUAUAUAUAUAUAUAUAUAUAUAUAUAUAUAUAUAUAUAUAAUUUAUUCAAGUCUUGCUAAUAUUUUAUUAAUAUAAAAAUGUACCUUAAAAUAUGGGUAGAAUCUAGUGCUACUAGAAAUUUCCAAGGGGAUCGUUGAUCCAUCAGGUUGUACAAUAAACUUUUCUUCCAAUUCAAGAAUAGCUUUCAAAACUUGAUGGAGAUGACGGCUAAUUGUCUCACCCGAACGACGAAACCAAAAGUUGACUUCACGAUUUUUAGCAUUAUGGGUUAGUAUGUAAAGUGAUUUUGCAACUUGUUCUUCCACACUUGACCAUCUUGUAGGUUGUAAGCCCCCUUCUCUUUCUAACAUAUCGCAUAACUUUAAAAAAGUUUGAGGACCCAUUCUUAUUAUAUUUCUACUAGUUUCACUAUUUUUAAGUCGAUACAUUACUUCUUCACGCACCCUUUCUCUCUGAGAGCUCAUACUAUAACUUAUUUUUUUUUAUUUACGAGAGAUUCGAAUAUAACAAAAGACAACAGCACACAUAAGCUGAGCUGUCAUACCCCAAAUUUUGACCUAAGGUUCCACUGACACACGUCUCCGAACUCGGACCAGACUCACAUUUCAGUGAAAAAUUCGGCAGGGAGGUAUUUUGAAAUACCUCAUAAAAUUCCGAAUCGGGCCCUCUUCUCUCAGUCUAAAAUUUAUUUCCAUCUUUUAAAUUUUUAUUUUAACUUUAGUCUAAAUUUAGAUUAAAUUUCUUUUAUUCCCAUUUUAAAUUUUCCUUUUUAUCCUUUUUAAAACUAAAAAUAUAGACAUUAUCCUUUUAUUAUUAAUUUUUCUUUUUAUUAAAUCCCAAAAUUGUCCAAAGUCCCAAAAAUGUCCAUGAGUCCCAAGAACAGUCCAGGUUCAUGCGUAACAAAUCACAAACCAUCAUCCUCAUCCUCAUCCAGGCUGUUACACGCCUAUCUCCGUCUCAAUCUCCUAAAAUCUGCAAUUUUUGUAACGAAUCCUUGUCCCCAAACAGCACUAUAAAUACAUAACCUGCAUAACAAAGAAAACAACAACAGAACACGGGAACAACAAAAAACAGAGGCAUCGCACGGAACCGCAGUACGGCAAUACAACAAACACAUCGCACAGAACCGCGACACCAACAACACGGCAACACAACAGAAACCAGAGAAGCACGCACAGAAACGGAAACACGGCCGCGCGCAACACAACACACACACGCAAACACAGAGGCGCGCACGCACAAAAGGGAACCGCGCAACACAACACACGCGCACACACACAGGAGCGACACGCCCCCAAGCACGCAGCAGCGCAAGCCAGCACCACAACAAAACCGGAUCUACAAAAAAAACAAAAAAAGGUAUAGAUUUCUUUCUUUUUUUUUAGAUCUAGGCGUUUGGGUAAAGGUUUUGGGAAUUUGAAGGCUAAAGGUGAACAGAGGGAGGGAAGUAGAAGAGAAAGAGCGAAAAAAAAAAUAAAAAAGGGAGCUUUUUAGCUCCGGCACGGCGGCGCAGCCGCGAUGGCUCGCCGGCCACCGCGCCGGAAUUCCCCCGGCCACCCAUCUCCAACCGGAGAAAAAGAGAGAGAACAGAGAGUUUAGAGAGAGAAGGAGAAGAAGAGAGAGAAGGAGGGGAAGGAAAUGAAGAAAUUUAGGGUUUACAACCCUUAUAUACUCUUCAAACCGGGUCGCCCAUGACCCAUAACCCGCGACCCGGUUCGUUUACUUAAAGCCCAAUUCUUUUUUUUUUUUUUUGCUUUCUGCACACCCCUGCUUACUAUUGCACCCCACCUUGUGUUUGGACCCUUUUUUUUAUUUUUUUUUAUUCCUUUUCGUAUUUGUUUAUUUAUUUUUAGCAUUUUAAUUUUUAUUGCAGACCUUAGAAUGUAAAUAGGCUUUUUAUGUAAUAGUCAUAGAUUUUAUAUUUCUAACUUAGGGUAGCCGCGUUUUUAUUCUUUAUGCUCCGUUAGUUUAUAUAUUCAAAAAUCACAAAACAUGCAAAUAACCAAAAAUCACAAAAAACAUUUUUCAUAAUAAACCUUGAUCCUAAAUCAAGCGAUCGUCCUUUUUUUCAUUUUAUUUUCUUAAUCAAAUAUCAAUCAAUUUAAUCAUACUUCGAGUUAUCUUUUCUUAAAAUAAAAAACACAAACAAAUUCUUAUUUGCCACUUGGCUUUUAUCUUUAAAACCUUUCUCAAAAAAACUAAUAAAAAACACAAAACCAAUCAAACGUCGUUUUCUACCCCGAACUACGAGGUUUUGAUCCCUCACGGGUACGUAGGCAGAGGACCAUGUCCUUCCAAACAAUAAAAAAUGUAGAUAAAUUAGGUCUCACUUUCUUUUUCUUUUAAUCAUCACAUUAACUUCUUUUUCAAAAGCAAGCAAGUUAUAGCACAUUAAAUUAAAUAAAACCAAGAGGUUCCCGUAGAGUACUACGGACAUAAAGGGUGCUAACACCUUCCCUUUAUGUAACUAACCCCCGAACCCUAAAUCUUUUCAAAUAGGGGUAGUUUGAACUUUUUUCCCCUUUUCUUAAUAAAAUUAAAUGUUCAGUCGUGAAAUAAAUUAGUGAGUCAAAAGCUAAUCAAAUAGCCUUGAUCUCCAAAAAAUGACGCGACAGAAAUGGCGACUUCACUGGGGACCCCCCUAAGAGGGUUGAGCCUAACUUGGCUUUAUUUAAUUCUUUGUGCUAUAACUUGCUUAAAACAAAAAAAACAAAAAAAUAAAGAUGGAAAUAAAUUGUAUAUAUCUUUUAUCUUCUCUCUUUCUUCCUUUCUUUUUAAAUAUGAGUGGUGAGAUAAAGCCCUACACCCGGGCUUGAGAGAAACAUAAGAUAGGACGGUGGUAUAACCAAAGUGCCUUUCCGAGAGUCAAGUCUCGUGUUUAGGUUCAUGUGGUACAACCCCACUCAAUGGAGGAAUCUUGAAAGUAAUCUAUGUUGGCAUGAAUAGUCGUGUUGGCAUUAUAUUUUCAAGUGACCGUCGAAGUUGAGGACCUUUAGUUACCCUUAACCCAUCUUGGCCUUUUUAGGACGUAGUGCGGUGGCUAAUCAAGAGUAGUCUUGAAUUAGUUGAUACGCGAUACUACACUCAAAUGAAACUUUCCUACGGAUAUUAUUGGAUCAAGAGUAGUCAAGAAUUAGUUGAUGACUUUGGGAACUGGAUAGAACCCGUGAUACAGAUACAAAUGAAACCAUAGUCCUUACCAAAUAGGGGUUAUUACCUUUAAACUCCAACAUGAUGAGCUUAACCUACGCAUAACCAUGCAUACAUGCAUUCAUUCAUAAUUUUUAUCUUUUUUUUCAUCAAAAAAUAUCGAAGGGCUUAUACUUGUUUUUGUAAAUAUCAUAGGCAUGGAAAGAAGAAAUACUAGGAAGUUUACAUUCAGGAAAUUGGAUCUAGAGAACUUAAAGAAGCUUGCAUUUGAAGUAACUAGCUUGGAGAAUUUUUGUGAUCGUCAUGGGAAGUUGCUUGGUGUCCUCUGGACAAAUAUCGAUAAGGGGUGCUUGGAGACCUUGGUCCAAUUCUAUGACCCUGCUUACCACUGUUUCACCUUUCCCGACUACCAGCUUAUGCCUACCCUCGAAGAAUACUCUCACUUAAUUGGCCUACCCGUACUUGAUAAGGUACCUUUCACUGGCUUAGAACCCUUUCCCAAAGCUGCCACCAUUGCAAAUGCCCUCCAUCUCAAAACCUCCCUCAUAAAAGAAAAACUUACCCUAAAAGGGAAUCUCCCAAGCUUACCUACUAAAUUUCUUUACCAACAAGCCUCCGAUUUCUCCAAAACAAACAAUGUUGAGGCCUUCUAUUCUAUCCUAGCUUUACUCAUCUAUGGCCUAGUAUUAUUCCCAAAUAUUGAUAACUACGUUGACAUCCAUGCCAUCCAAAUUUUCCUCACAAAGAACCCAGUCCCCACAUUGUUAGCUGAUAUAUAUCAUUCCAUUCACGAUCGAACCCAAGUAGGUCGUGGAGCCAUCCUUGGUUGCGCACCCUUACUAUACAAAUGGUUUACCUCUCACUUACCUCAGACCCACUCCUUUCAAGCCAACCCAGAAAAUCUCUCCUGGCCCAAAAGAAUCAUGUCCCUUACCCCAUCCGACAUAACCUGGUACCGUGCCACUUGUAACUUCACGAACAUCAUUGUCGGUUGUGGAGAAUACUCAAAUGUACCCCUUCUCGGUACGCAAGGAGGAAUCAGCUACAAUCCUAUCCUUGCCAAACGUCAGUUCGGAUGUCCAAUGGAAGCUAAGCCAGAUAACAUCUACUUACAGGGUGAAUUCUACUUCAACCAUGAAGAUCCCUCAAACAAAAGAGGGAGAUUUGUCCAAGCAUGGCAUGCCAUUCGCACACUCAAUAGAAGCCAGUUGGCGAGGAGAUCAGACUCUUUACAGGGGUCUUACACUCAAUGGGUCAUCAAUAGAGCUUCCGAUCUGGUCUUACCAUAUCAUUUGCCAAGGUACCUAUCUUCAACAACCCCAGCUCCGGCUUUACCCUUGGCCCCCGCAACUGUGGAGGAAUGUCAAGAGAAGUUGGCCCGAUCGGAAUAUGUGGGUGCUACUUGGAAGAGGAAAUAUGAUGAAGCUAUGCUCAAGAUGGAGACUAUGAGUGGUGAGAUAGAGCAACGAGAGCAUGAGGUUCACAAGUUGAAACGACAAAUAGUAAAAAAGAAUGUUCAGAUCCGAGCUCAGAGCACAAGGCUAUCACAGUUUAUCAACGCAGGGGAGCGUUGGGAGUUCUUCAAAGAUGCACAUUCAGAUUCUGAUGAAUAGUCUACUUCAAAGAGCUUGAGAGUUCCCAGUUUUUCUUUUAUUUUUGUUUUUAGCUUUAAGUUAGAUAUUUAUCUUAUUUUUUUGCAAAGUCUAUCCCUUGGCUUCGUUGUUUAGAAAGGGAAUUAUCUUAUAGUAUGCGAAUUAUUCAAUGGAACUCUCAACUAUGAUAUUUACAAAAAUACUUUCAUAAGUCCUUCGAUAAAAAAAAUAUACGUCUAUUUUUGCAUAAACAUCAUACAUCAUCCUGCAUUUCAUAAUCUCAAAUCAAAGUCUCACACAAACUUCCUUUUCCAGAAAAAGGGUCAACUCGUUUCAUACGGUGGCCCCACGUAUCAUCUACAAGUCAACCCGUACUCACUACACUCGAGCAAACGUAAAGAAGAAGAUGGAUUAUCUUGAGCAGGAAAAUCGGGUAGUUCGUGAAGAAAUGACAGCCAUGCAGACUAGGAUGGACGAGAUGGCUGAAUUAAUAAAAACAAUGGCGGAAGCUCAGACUCAAGCUCAAGCACAGAUUCAAGCACAAGCGCAAGCAUUGGCACAAGCGCAAACUCAAGCUCAGGCCAUAACAGAAGCGCAGGCCCGAUCACAAGCACCUCCACCUCCUCCUGUCAGAACUCAGGCCGAGGCAUCUUCUUCUUGGACACUAUGUGCUGACACUCCAACGCAGUCCGCUCCGCAACGUUCCACGCCUUGGUUUCCACCUUUCACUGCUGGGGAGAUAUUUCGUCCUAUCACUUGUGAAGCUCAGAUGCCCACUCACCAGUACACGGCUCAAGUACCCCUACCUGCCAUGAGGGUCACUCCAGCCACCAUGACCUACUCAGCACCUGUGAUACAUACAAUCCCGCAAACUGAAGAGCCUAUCUUUCAUUCAGGGAAUGCAGAGGCUUACGAGGAAGUAAGCGACCUACGAGAAAAGUAUGACGAACUACGCCGAGACAUGAAAGCCCUCCGUGAAAAAGGGAAAUUUGGGAAGACUGCGUACGAUCUCUGUUUGGUACCGAGUGUGCAGGUACCUCACAAAUUCAAGAUUCCAGACUUCGAGAAAUACAAAGGGAGUUCUUGCCCUGAGGAACAUCUAAAAAUGUAUGUGAGAAGGAUGCCUGCGUAUGCCCAAGAUGAUCAGAUUCUUAUUUACUACUUCCAAGAAAGCUUGACCGGCCCUGCUUCAAAGUGGUACACAAACCUAGACAAAACAAGGGUUCAAACUUUCCGUGACCUUUGCGAAGCUUUCGUGGAACAAUACAGUUACAAUGUAGACAUGACUCCGGACCGAAGUGAUCUCCAAGCCAUGACUCAGGGAGAUAAAGAGACGUUCAAAGAGUAUGCCCAACGGUGGAGAGACACCGCUGCCCAAGUCAGCCCACGAAUUGAGGAGAAAGAGAUGACCAAGCUCUUCCUAAAAACUUUGAAUCAUUUUUAUUACAAAAAGAUGGUCGGGAGUACACCAAAGAGCUUCGCGGAGAUGGUUGGUAUGGGAGUACAGUUAGAAGAAGGAGUCCGAGAAGGACGCUUAGUAAAGAAUACAACUCCUGCCAGUGGGACCAAGAAGACCGGGAACCAUUUCCCGAGGAAGAAAGAACAAGAAGUCGGUAUGGUGACUCAUGGAGGGCCUCAACAAACUUAUCCAGCCUAUCAACACAUUGCUGCCAUCACACCCACCUCUCACCCUUUUCAACAAACAAAUAACCAUCCUCAAAUACCACAAUAUCCUCAAAUACCACAAUAUCCUCAAUUCCCACAAAAUCCUUCACCACAAAAUGUCCAACCACAAAAUGUCCAACAACAAAAUUUCCAACAACAACCAUACCAACAACAACCAUACCAAUACACUCAACAAAAUUUCCAACAACAACCUUAUCAACAACGCCCACAACAACCUCGACCACCAAGAAUGCCGAUUAACCCAAUACCAGUCACCUAUGCAGAAUUACUUCCCGGCUUACUCAAGAAAAACCUUGUCCAAACUAGAACAGCUCCUCCUAUCCCAGAAAAACUACCAUCUUGGUAUAGACUUGACCAGACUUGUGACUUCCAUGAAGGGGGCCGUGGCCAUAACAUUGAAACUUGUUAUGCCUUUAAAAGCACAGUGCAGAGGCUGAUCAAUGAUGGAAAAAUAACAUUCACAGACUCGGCGCCAAAUGUUCAAACAAACCCGUUGCCAAAUCAUGGUGCCGCAACAGUCAACAUGAUCGAAGAUUGUCAAAAGACUCGUCCCAUUCAGAAUGUUCAACAUAUCAGAACACCUUUGGUUCCGUUACAUGCCAAGUUAUGCAAAGUCGACCUUUUUGAGCAUGAUCAUGAUCUCUGUGAAAUAUGCCUUAUGAACUCCGGAGGAUGUCAGAAAGUAAGAAAUGAUAUUCAAGGGCUCCUGGACCGAGGAGAGCUUGUGGUCGAAAGGAAGUGUGAUGAUGUGUGUGUAAUAACUCCUGAAGGGCCUUUGGAGGUAUUUUAUGACAGUCGAAAGUCAACUAUCACCCCUCUGGUGAUCUGCUUACCGGGUCCACUGCCAUAUGCUUCUGAAAAAGCCAUUCCAUACAAAUACAAUGCCACCAUGAUUGAAGAGGGUCGUGAGGUUCCAAUACCGCCUUUGUCUAGUGUGGAUAAUAUUGUUGAAGACAGUAGAGUUCUGAGAAAUGGGCGCGUUGUUCCCAUAGUGUUCCCAAAGAAGAUUGAUGCUACAAUAAACAAGGAGGUUCAGACUAAAGAUGCUGGUAUCGCCAAAGAAGUGGAUCAACCCAAUGGGGCUGGUACAAGUGCAGAGUUUGAUGAAAUUCUCAAGUUAAUAAAGAAGAGCGAGUACAAGGUCGUUGACCAACUGAUGCAGACUCCAUCCAAAAUAUCCAUAAUGUCUUUAUUACUAAAUUCUGAGGCCCAUAAAGAUGCAUUAAUGAAGGUCUUAGAACAAGCUUUUGUGGAUUAUGAUGUAACGGUGGGUCAGUUUGGCGGAAUAGUAGGGAACAUCACUGCAUGCAACAACUUGAGUUUCAGUGAUGAAGAGCUCCCAGCAGAAGGAAGGACCCACAAUCGGGCGCUGCAUAUAUCUGUGAACUGUAAAACCGAUGCUUUGUCAAAAGUGCUGGUGGAUACUGGAUCAUCUUUGAAUGUAUUGUCCAAAACAACUUAUACCCAACUCGCUUACCAAGACGCACCUUUGAGACGAAGUGGGGUAAUGGUGAAAGCUUUUGAUGGCUCGAGGAAGGAUGUCCUUGGUGAGGUGGUUCUACCUAUCACAGUUGGGCCACAAGUUUUUCAAGUUAAUUUUCAAGUCAUGGACAUUCAAGCUUCAUAUAGUUGCUUACUGGGUCGACCCUGGAUUCACGAGGCAGGGGCUGUCACAUCCACGCUGCAUCAAAAGCUGAAGUUUGUAAAGAAUGGGAAGCUAGUAACUGUAAACGGUGAAGAGGCUUUAUUGGUGAGUCAUUUGUCAUCUUUCUCUUUCAUUGGGGCAGACGAUGUCGAAGGGACACCUUUUCAAGGGUUUACUAUAGAAGAUAAGAAUACCAAGAAGAAUGAAGCCUCUAUCUCGUCUCUGAAAGAUGCUCAGAAGGUCAUACAAGCAGGAGGGUCCACAAGCUGGGGAAAGUUGAUAGAGCUUCCAGAAAACAAGCACCGAGAAGGAUUGGGUUUCUUCCCAUCUACUGGUUUGUCCACAGCGAAGAAGGGCACUUUCCACAGUUCGGGCUUUAUCCAUGCGAUCAUUGAAGAUGGUCCUGAAAGCGUGCCACGAGGUUUUAUAACGCCAGGAGUAUCCAGCCACAAUUGGGUUGCUGUAGAUGUUCCUUUUGUUGCUCACUUGUCCAAGUAAUGCAUUUGUCUAGUUUAUGCUUUUCUUUUCAAAAAAAAAAAACAAAACAUCCUUUCGCCCCGCCCCAAGCGAAGGUGAAUUUAUCUAGGGCUUUUUAUUUCAAGAAAUUAUCAUCAAUAAAAUAAAAAUGUCGUUUUUUUCCCGAUGUUUUGUCUCAUUUUCUUCUAUGCUUUUCUGAAAAGUGGUAAUACAAAAAACCCAAUAUAAAUUUUCAAAAAAAUCUGCAUGUAUCUUUUUCUAAAAAAAUCAUCCAUCACAUGUGCAGAUUAGAAAUCAACGAACCCGUUGAACAACAUAAUCCUAUGAUCUCUCCCAACUUUGAGUUCCCUGUCUAUGAGGCGGAGGAAGAAGAGAAUGAAGAGAUCCCUGACGAAAUCUCUCAACUACUCGAACAAGAGAGGAAGACCAUUCAGCCUUAUGGGGACGAACUAGAAUUGAUUAAUUUGGGCACCAAAGAAGACAAGAAAGAAAUCAAGGUUGGGGCAUCGCUCGAAACAAGUGUUAAAAAGCAAGUGAUAGAGCUCCUCAAAGAAUAUGUUGAUGUGUUUGCCUGGUCCUACCAAGAUAUGCCAGGUCUAGACACUGAUAUUGUGGUACAUCACCUACCUUUGAAACCUGAAUGUCCGCCAGUCAAACAAAAGUUGAGAAGAACACGUCCUGACAUGGCUCUCAAAAUCAAAGAAGAGGUACAGAAACAGAUCGACGCUGGUUUCCUCAUCACAUCAAAUUACCCCCAAUGGUUAGCUAACAUAGUGCCUGUUCCAAAGAAAGAUGGUAAGGUCAGAAUGUGUGUUGACUACCGUGAUUUAAACAAAGCUAGCCCGAAAGACGACUUUCCUUUACCUUAUAUUGACGUGUUGGUUGACAGUACUGCCAAGUCUAAAGUCUUCUCAUUCAUGGAUGGAUUCUCCGGUUAUAAUCAAAUCAAGAUGGCACCCGAAGAUAGAGAGAAAACAUCAUUUAUUACACCUUGGGGCACUUUUUGCUACAAAGUAAUGUCGUUCGGUUUAAUCAAUGCAGGAGCUACUUAUCAGAGGGGUAUGACUACUCUUUUCCACGAUAUGAUACAUAAAGAGAUUGAGGUCUAUGUGGAUGAUAUGAUAGUCAAGUCGAUUACUGAAGAAGACCAUGUCAAGUAUCUACAGAAGAUGUUCCAGCGCCUGAGGAAGUACAAACUUCGUCUAAAUCCCAACAAAUGCACUUUUGGUGUCAGAUCCGGAAAGCUUCUAGGUUUCAUUGUCAGCCAGAAAGGCAUCGAAGUAGACCCUGACAAAGUCAAAGCCAUCAGAGAGAUGCCUGCUCCGAGAACAGAAAAAGAAGUAAGAGGUUUUCUUGGACGACUAAAUUACAUCUCCCGGUUCAUUUCUCAUAUGACUGCAACUUGUGGGCCGAUAUUCAAACUACUCCGCAAAGAACAAGGUAUUGUGUGGACCGAAGAUUGCCAGAAGGCUUUUGACAGCAUAAAGAAGUACUUGCUAGAACCACCGAUUCUCAUCCCUCCAGUUGAAGGAAGACCUUUGAUCAUGUACCUAACAGUGUUAGAAAAUUCCAUGGGUUGUGUGCUCGGACAACAAGAUGAAACCGGAAGAAAAGAGCACGCCAUUUAUUAUUUAAGCAAGAAGUUUACUGAAUGUGAAUCUCGCUACUCCAUGCUCGAGAAGACGUGUUGUGCUCUAGCCUGGGCUGCCAAACGCCUCCGUCAUUAUAUGAUUAAUCACACUACGUGGCUGGUAUCUAAAAUGGAUCCAAUCAAGUACAUAUUUGAGAAGCCCGCUUUGACAGGAAGGAUUGCACGGUGGCAGAUGCUACUAUCUGAAUAUGAUAUCGAGUACCGUUCCCAGAAGGCAAUUAAAGGCAGUAUUCUUGCUGAUCACUUAGCUCACCAACCACUUGAAGACUAUCGACAUAUCAAGUUUGACUUUCCUGAUGAAGAGAUUAUGUAUCUAAAGAUGAAAGAUUGUGACGAGCCACUAUUCGGAGAAGGACCUGAUCCAGAUUCAGUGUGGGGUUUAAUAUUUGAUGGGGCUGUCAAUGUAUACGGCAACGGCAUAGGGGCAGUACUCCUUACUCCUAAGGGUGCUCACAUCCCUUUCACAGCAAGACUCCGGUUUGACUGCACGAACAACAUCGCUGAAUAUGAAGCCUGCAUCAUGGGUAUUGAAGAAGCCAUUGAUCUAAGAAUCAAGAACAUCGAAAUAUAUGGAGAUUCAGCUCUUGUAAUCAACCAGAUCAAAGGAAAAUGGGAAACUCUUCACGCAGGACUAAUACCUUAUCGAGACUAUGCAAGACGUUUAUUGACCUUCUUCAACAAAGUGGAAUUACAUCAUAUCCCUCGGGAUGAGAAUCAGAUGGCUGAUGCCUUGGCUACUUUGUCUUCAAUGAUCAAGGUGAAUCAUCACAAUGACGUGCCACUAAUCAGUGUCAAAUUCCUUGAUAGACCCGCUUAUGUGUUUGCCGCUGAAGCAGUUUUCGACAAUAAACCCUGGUUUCAUGAUAUUAAGGUGUUUCUCCAAACUCGAGAGUAUCCUCCUGGAGCAUCCAACAAAGAUAAGAAGACUCUCAGAAGAUUAUCUAGUAAUUUCUUCCUGAAUGGGGAUAUCUUGUACAAAAGAAACUUUGACACGGUCUUGCUCAGAUGUGUAGACAAAUAUGAAGCUGAUUUAUUGAUACAUGAAAUACACGAAGGAUCCUUCGGAAUUCAUCCUAAUGGGCACACAAUGGCUAAAAAGAUAUUGCAAGCAGGCUACUACUGGAUGACAAUGGAAUCAGAUUGCUACAAGCAUACCAGAAAGUGUCACAAGUGUCAGAUAUACGCCGACAAGAUUCAUAUGCCGCCGACUACACUCAAUUUACUUUCCUCUCCGUGGCCUUUCUCUAUGUGGGGCAUUGACAUGAUCGGAAGGAUUGAGCCCAAAGCUUCAAAUGGACACCGUUUUAUCCUAGUGGCUAUUGACUACUUCACUAAGUGGGUUGAGGCCGCAUCGUAUGCCAAUGUGACCAAACAAGUGGUGGUCAAAUUUAUCAAGAAUCAUAUCAUUUGUCGUUACGGCAUCCCCAACCGGAUCAUCACCGACAACGGAACAAAUCUAAACAACAAGAUGAUGAAAGAAUUGUGUGAUGAUUUCAAGAUCGAGCACCAUAACUCUUCACCUUACAGACCCCAAAUGAAUGGUGCUGUCGAAGCUGCAAAUAAGAAUAUAAAGAGGAUUGUCCAGAAGAUGGUGGUGACUUAUAAAGAUUGGCAUGAAAUGCUUCCCUUUGCAUUACAUGGAUAUCGUACUUCUAUACGCACAUCAACAGGGGCAACCCCUUUCUCCCUGGUAUAUGGUACGGAGGCAGUACUUCCUGUAGAAGUCGAAAUUCCAUCAUUGAGAGUCCUAAUGGAGGCUGACUUAUCAGAAGCUGAAUGGGUUCAGAAUAGAUACGACCAGUUGAAUCUAAUUGAAGAAAAGCGCAUGACGGCCCUAUGUCACGGACAAUUAUAUCAAAAAAGGAUGAAACAGGCCUUUGACAAGAAAGUUCGUCCCCGUAAGUUUAAAGAAGGUGAUCUUGUGCUCAAAAAGAUUUUCUCUUUCCAACCAGACUCCCGAGGCAAGUGGGCUCCUAAUUAUGAAGGUCCGUAUGUUGUUAAAAGAGCCUUCUCAGGUGGUGCCAUGACUCUACAAACCAUGGACGGUGAAGAACUNNNNNNNNNNNNNNNNNNNNNNNNNNNNNNNNNNNNNNNNNNNNNNNNNNNNNNNNNNNNNNNNNNNNNNNNNNNNNNNNNNNNNNNNNNNNNNNNNNNNAAAAAAAAAAAAAAAAGAGACAAAGUAACUGCAUCCAGUCGAACACAGAUACACUUGGGGCAUACCUGAUAUCAAAAGUAUUCGAGCCACAAGAUAACGGAUUUCAAAGUUGUUAGAGAACGAUAGAGUUAUGAAGUUCAACGUACCUUUCCAUUUUAAAUUACCAUUUCUUUUCAAACUUUGUAAAGAACUCCAUGAAGUCAUGCCAUUGGCAUAGCGUCAUUCGAUCAAUAAAUUUUGAGCCUUUACCUUUUUUUGAUUCCCAUUUGCUUUGUUUCACGAAUUUUUCCUCUUUUAUUGAUGAUAAUAUUUUGAAACAGAUUUCUAAAACAUUAUAUAAUAAAAAGCAUAAACAAAUAGAUACAGCUUGGCACUCGGGAGUAAAAGAAGCAUAUAUCAACUCAAGAGAGGUUAGAUCCUGCUAAAAGCGUGGCUCGACACUAAGGAAAGUCUCUGAAUAAACAAAUACAAAAAUAAUACAAAGAAGCUCGCUAAGUUGAAAACCUGAAAAGGCGACUUAGGCAACAGAGAGCGUCCCGGUGGACUGAAAACCCGAAAGGGCGGUCCAGGCAAAAAUUAGGGGCAAAACAAAAAUAGUCCCGGUGGACUGAAAACCCGAAAGGGCGGUCCAGGCAAAAAUUAGGGGCAAAACAAAAAUAUUCCCGGUGGACCGAAAACCCGAAAGGGCGGUCCAGGCAAAAAUUAGGGAUUUUUUUUUCAAAUAAAACAAAAGGUAUGACUGCGGAAGCAUACCAAUGGAAGGACACUCUAUGCCGGUUUACAAAUGGCGACUUCUUCCAGACUUCUUUCAUCAACAAUGGGCUCACCCCCAGGAGGCAUCAGUGGCUACCUAGUGCCAGGUUCUUACACCAUCAACGGCUCGAUUUGCUCACAAUAAUAUCAUCUCCAAGGAAGGUUGCCAGGUGUUUGUAAUGCAAUGUCGGUCCGACUCCCAUCUUACCUGCCUUGUCUCAGUUCAUCGAUUCACGUGUCAUGUACAUUCAUAUAUCCAUACAUUCAUGCAAUCAUGCAUUCACCAAUAUUUUCACAUAAUCAUACGUUUACGCGUACACGACAUAUGCAUAACAUCAAUUCACACAUAAUUGCAUCAGUCAAAGCUCACCAUUGCGUCAAGCCGCAAGUUUCUACGAGUAAAACAUCUCCCGUUUUAUCUUCCAUAUUUCAAAGGUGCCAUGCCCGGUGAAAAGCCGUGCUAAGUCAUGUCACUAAUCAAUGCCAAUUUCAACUUUAGUUUCGAAGUAUCAUCCCCGGCGGAAAGCCGUACUGGUCACAACACUAGUUAAACUCGAUGUCAACUUCAAACUCCAGGUAUCAUCCCCAGCGUAGCUGUUCUAGAGAUGUCACCAAUCCAAACUUUUCAAGCGACCGAUUCCAACAAACGAAUAGUCUAUGCCAAUGUUUUUUACCUUCCGAGCAACUAGUUCCAACAAACGAACAACUCAUGUCAAUCUUUUAUCUUUAUGCCCAGCGACCGAUUCCAACAAACGAAUAGCCUAUGCCAAUGUUUUUUACCUUCCGAGCAACUAGUUCCAACAAACGAACAACUCAUGUCAAUCUUUUACCUUUAUGCUCAGCGACCAGUUCCAACCAACGAACAGCCUGUAACAAGUGGCCAAUUUCAACCAACAAUUAGCUUGUAUCCUUCUAUUAUUUCAUUUUCAAAACCAAGUCCACAAAUGGACAUUGGAGUCUGAACCAUUUGCGCUUUGUUUCGAGAUAUCGAGACAAUGAGGAACAACCAUUUUCCCCAGUGAAACCAGAUUCCCCAGUAAAGUCGGAUCCCUUUCUUCGAAGAAUUCGGGUAUCCUAGUGUCUUUUUAUUCCAGUCGAGCCGUCACUGUCAUCAUGCAUUCAUAAUUAAAUCAUGAGCAUUCAUAAACCUCUUAGGUCAAAAUUGGUGCACUUUUGUAUUUAAGUCUCUUCGGCUCGUCGAGUCAAAGAUUUUACCUUCGAAUCUCUGAGCGAAGAAACUUAAAUAGGGGCAUCUGUCAUACCCCAAAUUUUGACCUAAGGUUCCACUGACACACGUCUCCGAACUCGGACCAGACUCACAUUUCAGUGAAAAAUUCGGCAGGGAUGUAUUUUGAAAUACCUCAUAAAAUUCCGAAUCGGGCCCUCUUCUCUCAGUCUAAAAUUUAUUUCCAUCUUUUAAAUUUUUAUUUUAACUUUAGUCUAAAUUUAGAUUAAAUUUCUUUUAUUCCCAUUUUAAAUUUUCCUUUUUAUCCUUUUUAAAACUAAAAAUAUAGACAUUAUCCUUUUAUUAUUAAUUUUUCUUUUUAUUAAAUCCCAAAAUUGUCCAAAGUCCCAAAAAUGUCCAUGAGUCCCAAGAACAGUCCAGGUUCAUGCGUAACAAAUCACAAACCAUCAUCCUCAUCCUCAUCCAGGCUGUUACACGCCUAUCUCCGUCUCAAUCUCCUAAAAUCUGCAAUUUUUGUAACGAAUCCUUGUCCCCAAACAGCACUAUAAAUACAUAACCUGCAUAACAAAGAAAACAACAACAGAACACGGGAACAACAAAAAACAGAGGCAUCGCACGGAACCGCAGUACGGCAAUACAACAAACACAUCGCACAGAACCGCGACACCAACAACACGGCAACACAACAGAAACCAGAGAAGCACGCACAGAAACGGAAACACGGCCGCGCGCAACACAACACACACACGCAAACACAGAGGCGCGCACGCACAAAAGGGAAUCGCGCAACACAACACACGCGCACACACACAGGAGCGACACGCCCCCAAGCACGCAGCAGCGCAAGCCAGCACCACAACAAAACCGGAUCUACAAAAAAAACAAAAAAAGGUAUAGAUUUCUUUCUUUUUUUUUAGAUCUAGGCGUUUGGGUAAAGGUUUUGGGAAUUUGAAGGCUAAAGGUGAACAGAGGGAGGGAAGUAGAAGAGAAAGAGCGAAAAAAAAAAUAAAAAAGGGAGCUUUUUAGCUCCGGCACGGCGGCGCAGCCGCGAUGGCUCGCCGGCCACCGCGCCGGAAUUCCCCCGGCCACCCAUCUCCAACCGGAGAAAAAGAGAGAGAACAGAGAGUUUAGAGAGAGAAGGAGAAGAAGAGAGAGAAGGAGGGGAAGGAAAUGAAGAAAUUUAGGGUUUACAACCCUUAUAUACUCUUCAAACCGGGUCGCCCAUGACCCAUAACCCGUGACCCGGUUCGUUUACUUAAAGCCCAAUUCUUUUUUUUUUUUUUUGCUUUCUGCACACCCCUGCUUACUAUUGCACCCCACCUUGUGUUUGGACCCUUUUUUUUAUUUUUUUUUAUUCCUUUUCGUAUUUGUUUAUUUAUUUUUAGCAUUUUAAUUUUUAUUGCAGACCUUAGAAUGUAAAUAGGCUUUUUAUGUAAUAGUCAUAGAUUUUAUAUUUCUAACUUAGGGUAGCCGCGUUUUUAUUCUUUAUGCUCCGUUAGUUUAUAUAUUCAAAAAUCACAAAACAUGCAAAUAACCAAAAAUCACAAAAAACAUUUUUCAUAAUAAACCUUGAUCCUAAAUCAAGCGAUCGUCCUUUUUUUCAUUUUAUUUUCUUAAUCAAAUAUCAAUCAAUUUAAUCAUACUUCGAGUUAUCUUUUCUUAAAAUAAAAAACACAAACAAAUUCUUAUUUGCCACUUGGCUUUUAUCUUUAAAACCUUUCUCAAAAAAACUAAUAAAAAACACAAAACCAAUCAAACGUCGUUUUCUACCCCGAACUACGAGGUUUUGAUCCCUCACGGGUACGUAGGCAGAGGACCAUGUCCUUCCAAACAAUAAAAAAUGUAGAUAAAUUAGGUCUCACUUUCUUUUUCUUUUAAUCAUCACAUUAACUUCUUUUUCAAAAGCAAGCAAGUUAUAGCACAUUAAAUUAAAUAAAACCAAGAGGUUCCCGUAGAGUACUACGGACAUAAAGGGUGCUAACACCUUCCCUUUAUGUAACUAACCCCCGAACCCUAAAUCUUUUCAAAUAGGGGUAGUUUGAACUUUUUUCCCCUUUUCUUAAUAAAAUUAAAUGUUCAGUCGUGAAAUAAAUUAGUGAGUCAAAAGCUAAUCAAAUAGCCUUGAUCUCCAAAAAAUGACGCGACAUGAGCUAUAGCUCUUCGACGCAAAUCAAACCAUCUAUUGAUAGCAAUUUCCUGAUCUUGAUGAUCCAUCUAAUCGCAUAAAAUUAAUUUUUAGAUUAUAUAACUCUUAUACUACAAUUACAUAUAGACAUGUAAUAAACUACAACAAACAUAUUUAUAUAUAAACGAGGCCAUGAUCAAUAUAUGGAAGAAAAAAAAAUGAAACAAAGCAUAUAGAAAGAAAAGCAGAACGUAAAAAAGAAAAAAAAAAUCAUGAUUAAUGUAUAGAUAUAUGGAAGAUAAAAAAAAUGAAACAAAGCAUAUAGAUUAAUGUACAGAAAAAUAAAGCCAAGAUUUUACACAACAAGACAUGUAGGAUCGGUGAAUUAACAGUGAAAAAAAACACUACUAGGUUGUGAUUAUCCUAUUUUAGCUAGAAGUGAAGAUUUGCAUUUUAUAUAAGCUGUAUCUGAUACUCCAACAACAAUAAGUAUCAAUAAAAAUAAUGCACAGCUUUGAGGAUGGAUAAUGUAGUGUGCCAACAGGAACAAGUUCAAUAGCCAGCAUCAGCCUUUAAAAAAAUAAAAUAAAUGGCCUGCAUGCUUGAGAGAGGUUUUAAGUGGGAACAUGUGAAAUGUAAACAUGUCCUGAGUUUUUACUGUUCGUUUGCCUGUAGGCUGUAGUUUUUACUGUAGGCUUGAGAGAGGUUUUUAGUGAAUUUCAUUUUCAAUUUGAUUUAAUGAUUACGAGUUAUAUUCAGCUAAUCCGAUAAUAGUAAGGUUGUGUAGUGAAAAAAAAUUCUGGUCAAGAUUUUACACAACAAGACAUUGAUAGGUGAAUUAACUGUAAAAAAAAACAAGCAACAACAAGUAUAAUAAGCUGAAUUAAAAUAAAAUAAUAAUAAUAAUAAUAAAACUUCAACGAUUUCAUCAAAAAAAAAAAAAGACUUCAACGAUUUUAAAAGUGAAAAAAAAACAAUACUCUCAAAUGAAUGGAUCAAUACCAUAAGAAAAAACACACUAUGAAACAAACAAGCCACCGUAAGGAUAAAGCAACAAUUUAAACAAUAAAGUUCCAACAACGAUAACGAUUAAACAAGGAUAAUAAAGUAGCGAAUCAAUAACGAUGUAAUUAAUAAUACUACGAUAUAGACAAUGAGAUGAUGAAAUUACUCACAAUUCACUUUGGAGGAAGCCUCAAGCAGUCGUUGACAACAACAAAGUAGUAGUAAGAGCGGUUUGUACAUCUAACAAAUAAGAGUGGUAGAUUAUAUAAUAAUAAAAAUUGUUACAAGGAAAAUAUAACAAAAUAAUAAUAAUAAUUGUUACAAGAAUAAGAUAACCUAAUAAUAAUAAUAAGAUUGUUACAAAAAUAAUAUAAUCUAAUAAUAAUAAAAGUUGUUACAAGGUUAAUAUUGAGAUUUGAAAUUAAUUUAAGGAUAAUUAUGGCAAUGCAAUAAAAUUUUAAAGAGAUUUGCUCCCCUCCCCUCCCAUUCCCUUCCCUUCUAAAAAUUGAACCAAACACUUCAAAUUAAAAAUCUCCCCUCCCCUUCCCUCCCCUCCCCUCCAAAACUCUCGAACCAAACGGAUCCUUAGGAUUAUGGAUUAAGAGGGGUGUAUUAGUUUGUGUGUUUAAUCCAUAUCAUGCUUAACAAACACUUAAGAGUUUAGUUUGUUACUUUGGAUAAACUUUUAAGCUAGAAAAAAGUGUGUGGGGACCACUAAAAGAUGGGGGUUUUAAGUUAGACACUAAGUCUUAGAAGACUCCCAAAUUUUUUCCCCACAAUAGGAGUACCUAUUAGGUACUAGGUCUUAAAUGGGGAAGACCUCACCAUUAUGGAUGCUCUUAUAUUGUGAUUGUGUGGAUGGAUCAGACUGAAUUACAUUUUGGUCAAAAUAAAAAGAAUGUCUCGUCCAUACAAACAAGGGGAGAAUCACAACAACAAAACCAUAAUAGUAGUAAAUAAAUCAAGGAUAUACUACAAUAAAAGUUCUAGAUAAACCCAAUAGUACUAGAAAAUGAAAUGUCAAAAGCCAAUAGUUAGGUCACUGUGUUAUGAUUCUAACCAAACUUAGAAUUCAGAAGCAUAAAAUUUGAGAUGAAAUUUGACCAAAGCUUGUAUCAUUGUUGGGUCUACCCCAUCCGUUGAAGUUAACUCACAGUCAGCACCAACUGAACAAUUUUUGACUUUCUUUUCCAACUCUUGAGCAACAGCAAUGAGAGUAGGAAAUUGGGAAGGUUCCACCUUUGACAAUGCCACCUUAGAAGCCACACACAUGAAAAACUGAGGGCAAAUAUGAGACGUGAUAGCAUUACAGGCCUCAGUAUAAUUUUCCAACUCUUGUGAAAUACUAAAAUGAAAGAAGACAGGUGAUUGAGGCUUAACCAACAAAUCAUUGAUAAGUGUGAAAUGAUGCAUGUCGGUCCAAGAUAACUCAUUACACAAAUAUUGAUACACAACACCAAGUUCUUGAUCUCUUUCAACCGAAUCAUUACUUUUCUUCAUAAUAAAUCUUAUUGCAUCUUGACAUAAUCUUGAACAAGAACCAAGAUUAGCCCUAAUUGCAGUUGCUCUCUUGAAAUCAAAUGGAAAAUCCAAAUCAGCAUCAUACCCAAUUAUCUCUUUCAAUUCGCUAAUUAACUUGAUCAUAAAAGUUUUAAAGUUUCGCUCAUCAGUGAAGUUCUUCAAAAGCAUAAUAAUAAUACAACCAAAGUUGACAAGAAUAAAAGGCCAAACAAUAUCUUCAGUAGUAAUUUCAUCAGAUGGUAACCACACCACAGUAGUUUUUACACCAAUUCCGUACAAUGCUUCUUCCACGGAACUUCUGAAUCCAUGGUACACGUCGCAUAACAUAGAACCAACGUUAGUGCACAACUCUUUGUAGUCCGAUGACUGCAUUGCCUCUUCAUAUGAUUCAUAAAAGGCCAUACCUCUCAUUCUGACAUUCGGUGUAUUAAACCUAUGAACACUAAAUGUUUUGAUUUUAGUAGGGUUUAUAGAUGGAAUCAACCACUCUUCUUUCUUGGGAUAUCUUGCAUUGAAUUGGCCAAUUGUACUGCUCAGACGGUUGAAAAUGGUUUCAGGAUUGUGUUUAUUAUUCUUCAUUUUAGAUCUUGAUCACGUCAACUACAAGAAGAGUGAAAGGUGAAAAAAAGGUCUGGCUGAGUCUUGUGGAAUGUUAGAGAAGGCUGUGUAUUUAAGUAUAGUGUUUGUGUUCUUCAAAUAGACUAUUUAUUGGGAAUAUCCAGAGACAGAUUUUCAAUUGAAUUAGCCGUUUGCAUUGGAAAAGAGAUAUUUAUAAGACCAUCAAAAUAUUUUGGGAAGGUAAAAAGAUGUACUACUCCACUACGAUACAAUAACCCUAUGAAUGAUAAAUGUACGAUGAAAGAAAAUUACUCCCUCCAUUUUAAAAUCAGUGCCGCUUUAACCGAUUGCACACAUAUUAAAAAAUGAAAUAAAGUAGUUAAAUGUCAUAGCAAUUUUACCAAAUUAUCCUAAUCAACUAUUAGUUUGUUUUUCAUUAAAGAAAAAAUAUUACUUUGAAAAUAGUGUAUAACAUAAUAUUAAUUGAAGGGUACAAUUAAAAAUAAAAAGUUAUUAUUGCAUUAGAAACUGAAAGUAACAUUCAUUUUGAAACAAUUUUUUUUGCCUAAAACGACACUCAUUUUGAAACGGAGAGAGUAUUAGUUAUGAGAGAAAUAGAGACAAGGUCACGAAACUCAAAGUGAUAGAAGUAGAACCCAUCAUUUUUUGAAAUAAAUUGGAUACUCCGUCGAUACAUAUCAAUAGAGUAUCGGCGUAUAGAGGCGUAUCGGAUACGAUACGGUAGUUAUUUUGAAAUAUACGUGCUUCAUAGAAAACCAUACAAGACUUGGUAAAACUUCAUCGGGUACAUGCAUGUGUCACAUAAUCGAUGCCGAGUGUGAAUCCCUUGUGUGCUUGUAAACUCCUUUUGACUUCUUAAUAUGAUUAGAAUCACAAGGAUAAAUGUGACUUAAUUUGAUUAUGGACUUAUUUUAUUUUGAUAUUUCAAUUUCUAUUUUUAUCGUUCAAAAGCUCUUGACCAUUAGAUUGAGCGCAUGACAUAGCGCAGAAGAUACUCAGCAGGAGAUGAUCCAUCUCCCCCCGUGAAGUUUCACCAAAUAUUGCACUAUAACAGGGUGUGCCCCUCAGUGUAAAGAAUGCACAUAAAGAUCCAAAAACAUGUUAAAUUGAAGGCAAAUGCAUGUGAGACCUAACAGAUUUGCAAGCAUCGAUAUAGUAAUUCUAAUAAAAAAAUAACUAUAACAAGAAUUAAAUGAAAAUCAAAUAGUACAUAACAUGAAAUUACACGAGAAGUCGAGAAGUACAUAAUCCAAAGCUGAAAAUCACAAACUUUCUACCUAGAGAGGUUCACAAAACUAAAACCAACUGCCUAAAAUACUGAGGGUGAGGGUGAUAAAACAACUUUGCAGGCAUCAGCAAAAUCACAACCUUCUUGAUAACACCAAACAGACGAUUUAGUAAUAAUUUGGACCAGAUAAAAUGGAAUUCAAAUAUUUGCACACAUUAGAAAUUUGAGAAUCGGGAUGAUUGGAGUAGUUCAUGAGGAAUGUGAUUACAGCUUUACCAAGUUCGCGAGAACCAAGCAUAGUUGUAAUGGCAUUUGCUUUUGUAGCAUCAAAUGGUAUAUCUAGCUUGUUGCUUGGGUCAAAUCUAGCUUUAGCCUGCAGCUCACGAAUACAAGUGGGUAUAUAAUUGUUAUAAGGAGUAUAACCUAUCAUCCUUUCGUUAAAAUUAGAUUUGCAAAGAAGAAAGAUACAAUAUCCAAACAUUACAAGGAUGGAAGGCCAGUCCAGUUGAGGGAGAUCAGAAACAACUAUACUGUUUUCAUGAGCCUGGGAAGGUAAACUCACGAAACGAGGCCUGAUGCCUAUUCCAUUCAGUGCUUCCUCUACCGAGUUUCUUAAUCCAGGAACCACUGAGCAUAACAUAGAUCCAACACAAGCGCAUAACUCCUUGUUAUUCUUUGAAUCCUUGGCAGCCUUAUAAGCUACACAGAAAGCCAUAUCAGUGGUUUUGUCGCCUUUUGCAUCAGAGAUAUAGAAAUUGAUAUCAGUCAUGUUUCCCAUCACAUAGAAUUCAAACUGCAAAUUUGGCUUGAUGGGUGUGGAGGAAACUGGAGCUAUGAGACUAUUGAGGUUAGUUUCAAGAGGUGGUUGAACAAUGUUGAGGUUUAGAAUCACUGGAUUUGUUUCAUCCGUAGUCUCACUGGUGAACUUAUUCAUUUUCUUAUACAAUUGUGCUAGUUGGGGAAUGAGAAAGUUUAUCGGUUUUGUUUUAUAAGUGUAGUGAUGAUGAUUGUGAUUCUCUAAGCAGAGUAUUAUUGGGAAUGUCUGGAGACAUGAUAUUAAAUUGAAUUAGCGGUUUGCAUUGGAAACCGUAUUUUUAAGUCCAUCAAACACUAGGAAAGAAAAAAGAGGAACGUUACCGUAAACGGUGUACAUUUUUUUUUUUUAAUUACUCCCUCCAACCACUAUUAUAAGAAAGAAAAAAAAAAAAAAAAAAAAACCUUUACAUUCAUUUUGAAGACUAUCUCUAAUACCGAAAGUAAAAAAAAAAAAACAAAUUUUCACUUUAUUCAUUGACUCUGCACCUCGCUCUUACAUAGGUCCAUGAAUCAGGAUUAAAUAUAAGGAAGUUUCUUAUUGUGUACUUCCGUUACAAUUUUUAGUUAGAAUAAGUGUGUCACAUGGACUAAAAUGAAAGUAGAAAAUAGUCACUUUAGUCACUAAACCAAAAAUCAAUAUCCCCAAUUAGAAUCUCAAAUCCACUUUAGUCAAGCUCCAAUUAUUGUGCUAUUAUUAGAGUUGUUAAAAAUGGACCGGCCCAAAAGCCCAUAUUUUUUAGUCAGGCCAGGCCUAAAAAGUUAGCCCAAAAACACACUCGGGCUUUUUUGGCCCAUACAAAAAUGGGUCGGGCCGGGCUGGCCCAUUAUUACUAUAUAAUUUUAUUUUUUGUUAAAAAAAUAGUAUAUUUUUGAAAAAAAUUAUGAACUAUUUUAAAAUUUAUCAAUAAAAAAAUAUUUAAAUAAAUAAACUUAAUAAAAAUGAAUGAAUUUAGCUUAAAGUUUAUAAACUAUUAAUUUGAUUUAAUUGAAUGGAUAAUAUAGAGUUUCAUUGAUAUUCAAUGUUAAUGUAAAAAUUACUUACAUUUUUAUGUUCAUCCAAUCAUAUUUUAGGAAAAAAAAUAGUGGUGAGUGACUAAUAAAUAAAAAUUACAUAGAAAAAGUGAAUAAAUUUUAAAAGUAAAAAAUAAACGGGCCGGGCCGGACUCUAGUAUAUGCGGCCUAAUUAUAAUUGGGUCGGGUUGGCCCAUUUAUGUAGUCGGCCCUAAUUAUAAUAGUGGUGAGUGACUAAUAAAUAAAAAUUACAUAGAAAAAGUGAAUAAAUUUUAAAAGUAAAAAAUAAACGGGUCGGGCUGGCCCACAUGGCCCACACAGGCCGGGCCGGGCUCUAGAAUAUGCGGCCUAAUUAUAAUUGGGUCGGGUUGGCCCAUUUAUGUAGUCGGCCCUCUUGGGCCUGGGUCGGGCCAACCCAUUUGACACCUCUAGCUAUUAUUCACAAUUGAGUUUUUAUUGUUUCCGGACUUAUGCCAGACAAAUUAAAUCAUUUUAAACUAGUACUCCCUCCGUUACUAAAAUGAUGCAUUUGGUCUAUAUCUUAGACAAGAUACAUCAAUUAUUUCAUGAACUUGGGACAAGAUACAUCAAUUACUCAAUGAGCAUGGGAAGCAUCAAUUAACUUGGGUCAAUCCUUUUACUCAAUAAAGGAGGUAAAAUGUUGAACCAAAAAGUGCCAUUAAUCUCAUGUCCCAUAGCUGCAAGGCUGCCUGCAGAACAAUUCCCUUUGCGAAAAAUAUGAGAGCAAAUAACCUUCAAACCUUGAUGAGUGCAGUUAUACCAACAGUUUCUAAGACGUUACCGAUACCCCGGAUGUUCCAAAAAAUUAUAUUCAUUUAAAGGGUGAACGAGGACCCUGAGAACGGGUUAUGUAUAGUGCCUUCUGUAAAUUCUUUUUUUUCUUUGACUUGGAAACAACGUCUAUAAAAGGUUUAUCCGUAGCUGCUGCCGUUGAUAACCAAGCUUGCAUAAAAUUUAUGUCCUUCUGUAAAACCGGAUCUAUCUGAGCAUCAGCCGGAGCUACAAUACUACUUAUAUCUGGAAUUUUAUUUUUUAGAGGAGAUAAAAUAUGUGAAUGGUGAUCCUCUGAGUCAGUAGGAAUUCUGUUAUGGGAAAUAUUCUCUAGUUGCAUGCUUAAAUUAUUAUUCUGAAUAAUCGGGCUAAGAGAAGUAGUGAUUACCAAAGGUGUCGGUAUGGCUGCAGGAAUAACAUAUGUGCUUUCAUGGUUGUUAAUAUCUUGUGUUUCAACUGGUAUUGCUUCUGAAUGAUCAACAGUGCUCUCCCUUUGGUGCUGGUUCGGUAAAUCAAGUUGAGGAGCAUAUUGCACUGGCUCAACAUCUGUUGUCUUUUGUACGUGAGCAGCUGAAUUAUGGUGUGGUUCAGCUUCAAUUUCCUCUUCAAAUCGUACCUGUUCGGGAAUAGUUAUGCCACCAAAAGCUAGUGAGGAGCUGACAGUUGAGUUGUUUUGUGUUUCAGUUUCAAAUUCCUCUUCAACUCGUGCCGGUUCUGGAAUAGUAGUGGUGACAAAGGCUAGUGAGGAGCCAAUGCCAGUUGGAUUUUCCUUUAAAGGAACCCACAUAGUCUUUGUUAUAAGAACCUGCUUGUUCCCUUUAUCAAUUCGUUCCUUAGGGGCAUAUGUUUCCUGCCUAGGGUAUAGCUGUCUGCAGACCGUGACGUCGUGACCAAUAUUCUAACAAUGAGAACAGAAAUCAGGCAACCAUUCAUAGGCCACCGCAACCGUGAAGGCAAACCCUUCCUUUUCAACAACAAUUUCAUGAAAUAACUUACGGGAGAAAUCCAUAUCAACAAGAAUUCUUGCAUAAUGUCCAAACAAACGCUUUGUCGUCGCGUUGUCUAUCACAAGAGGUGUCCCCAACAUUCCUGCAAUCUCUCGAAGAGUCCGUUCCAUCCAGUACUCCUGAGGUAGUUCGAGCAAGCGAAUCCACACGAGCAUGUGAAUUACGAUGAGUGUGCAUAUUGAAGUCUUUGGACCACUCAAACAGCUGAAGGAUACCCGGUUUCAAGUUUAUGGUGCCUGCUGUCCACACAGUACGCAUAUCCAUCUCUGAAGCAAAGAAAAAUUCAUAAAACCCUCUUCCUAAAGACAUCAUGCGCCAGGCACCUGCUGUCUUCCAUAGCUUCUGCAAUCGCGAUUCAAUUUCCCUUGUAGAAAAUGGCUUGUCCCCCUUGUUCAACACAAGUCUGCCCCUCAAAUUUGACUCACAAAAAUCCGUUCCUCGGUCGUAAAUUUCCUGGGUGAUUUUAACACUGAGUGUUUCUCCACGUAUUUUUGGCUAAGGCAAAUUAUCAUUGGAAGCUGUCCUAGUUGACCCUGUCGGAGCCUGAGCAAACGAAACCACUUGCUGAGUGGAAGGCGGUGGUGGCGUGACAGCCCUUGCAACCUUGGGAGCGGCUGCAAGAGCAGACAUCUCAGCCUGCCGGUCAAACAUGGCAGCCGAGAUCGUGAAAAAAAGAUGGUAGAAAUUGAAAGCUGAUCCAAAAGAAAGCUAAUUGAAUUGACGGUGGAGGAAGCUUUCACGUAACAAAGAAAUUCACACCGUGAUCCCAAUACAAUUUGUUUGCAAAAGGAAAAGAUUGGUGUUGUUGCUAGCUUACGUAAGCCAAUUGGAUUGGUGUUGAAUUGUUGUAAAAAACUGAAAUGGUUUCUUUAGAGCAAUCAACAACUGGCACAAUCAGUAGACAAGCAAUUGGAUAAUUGAAUUAAGCAAGCUGUAACGGUGAAUAAUGGAGGGGCAGCGCUCAUGCUAGGCAAACCCUAGCAAAGCGUGAAACAUCAUUUUUCUCACAGAACUGAGACUCUUAAUAAUCAAAAAAUAACAAAAAAAAUUCACCAUUCAACUAAAUCACAGCAUUCUAUAUUUUAAGAAUUAACUACAAAAAUUUGGUUGAAUGUAUAAACAAAAAUAACACUAUCACUAUAUACAAAUCAAAUUUAUUCAAAAAUCUAAAUUUUGAUCAAACUAUCAAUAUUUUGAUUUAUGGACAAAAUAGUGUCACGACCAAUCUUAAUAACACAAUGCUAUGCCUGCAACUAAUCUUAAUAACAAUGCUAUGCAUGCAACCAAAUCUAUGAAUCAAUGAUCAUUGAAAAGCUUGAAUAGAAAAUAGAUUAUAAAAAAUAGAAAGUAGGCAUUUUGAAUUAAAACGUAUUUAUUUAAGUUUGACAAUGUAUACGAUCUGAGUACAUUUUUGUAGAGUCUCACAUAACUUAAACACUAUUGAUCUAUUAUUGUUGCAACUCUUCAAAGCUUGAAUCGUUUUUUGUAUACACUGCACGAGCACCUACAAAGCAAAAACAAAUAUAUAUUAAUAUUUAGAUUUGCUAAAAAGAAUAUACAAUAUAUCUUUAAAAAAAAAAUAUAUACAAUAUAUAAAAGAUGAAAAGAGAGUAAAUCUAAAUAUAUAUAAAAGGAAAAAUAUAUAAUAUUUAUAUAUAUUUGCUAAAAACAGACAAAAAAAAGAUGAAGAGAAAGUAAAUCUAGACACAAUUGUUGAUGGUAAGAUCAUAGUAAUGUUCCUGUCAAAAUAAAAAUAAAAAUCAGAGUAAUGUUUUUUUUUUUUUGUUUUUACCGGCGCCUAUGCAUUUUUUAUUCACACAAUCUAUAAAGCAUUCUUUAUAUUUGUGUGCUAUGCGUCGAAGACUUCGACACGACAUGGUACACUUUAUUUCACAAAAUACUCUUUUGACUCCUUUGAGUUCAGUUGGCCCAUGUUCUUGAUCUUGAGAUGGAGAGUUGCAUUCAACAUGUGUUACAAUUAACAUAAUCAUUAACAUCAUCACAAUAGC